AUGGGACACACAGCUCUUGUACUAGCAUUGAUGCUGAUAUGGAAGCUGCAGGCUGAAGGCGUAAAACUUGACAAGGGAGGUAAGUUACAUUGUUUAAAAACGGCAGCGUUCUGGAUUGCAUUAGACGUUCCAAAUCAACGUGUCUUACUUGUCUAGGGGUUGAACUGCCUACCCACGGCACGGGCGCUAGCUGCUCCUAUCCGUGCGGAUAUGGUUUGAAUGCAUGCACAUUAGCCCUUUAAGGACCAAUGGCCAUCUAUGCCAUUAGAACUAACUGGCUUUCGUUUUCUAAGGAAUGCCAAAAUCAAUUAACAAUGACCAGUGACAAUGUAUAAUUUAACUACAAAUUCCCAAGUAGGAUUUCCUUAAAUCUUCAGGAUUGUCAUAACAGCAAAUAGUAACAUAUAUUCCUUAACCCCUUAAGGACACAUGACAUGUGUGACAUGUCAUGAUUCCCUUUUAUUCCAGAAGUUUGGUCCUUAAGGGGUUAAAGGGUUAAUAUACAAUUCUCUUGGGCUGUAUGUAGGCAGCAAUAAGGUAAUUUUACCAGAUAAAGGGUCACAUUAGGGAACGAGGAUUAUAGAUGCAAAAAAAAAAGGGAUUAUUCUUUUACAGUGCUAAAUAAGGGGCCAUGGAAACCAAUAAAAUGUCUUGCAACAUUUAGCAUGUCCCCCAUAGUACUAUAUGUGGUAUUGCAUUAUGGAAGUUGUACUUUACUGUGCAUUUAUACCAAUGGUAUAGUCAUUUAGACGAAAAUCAGUUAUAGAUAGAAAAAUAAAAAAGUAUGCUUUGAAUACAUGUUAUACUAGUCCGCAGUGGUAGCAAAAUUAAUCGUUAAUUAAUUGCACGUUUUGCAUGUUUUUUUUUCUUCUUCUGGUGUUUUGCUCAUCAUGCUUGUUGCUUGUGUGGUCAGAUAAAAUAAAUAAAAGCAAAAUAACGAGCCCUCUGCUGCUGUUAUAAAGUUAUCAACUCUUAAAUAUCAAAUUGAUUAUUGCAUGUUUAUUAUGUUUGCUUUGGUAUGUGUGAUAAUCAGCACAUUUGUUUCUCCUGGUUUUUGGCACACAAAGUAAUCUCAACUAUUUAGUAAAUUGUUUUGUGUUUCUACACAUGUUUAGGGAAAGCCAUGCUUUGCUUUUGAACUUUUGGCUCUCUUACUGCAUUUAGUCGUCAGACUCCUGCUGUUUUGUAUUCAGUGUAUAAAAACUGGCCUAAGUCUAGUUAAUAACUGUAGUUCUGUUAUUUUUUGUUGUCAGAUCCCUGAUACAUAAAGUAGGUUAAUUUUAUUGGGCUAGCUGCACAUUGUAUAGAAAAGCAAAUUACAAACACAUGGUAUAUAUAUAUACAUGAGACUAAAAUACAAAUAUUUGUAAAGCGUUUUCUAAGGCGGGGUGCCCAAAAGGUAGAUCCCCAGAUAUUUUAAAACUACAGCUCCCAUGAUGCUUUCACAUGCUAAAAGCAUGCACAGCUUCAUGGAAGUUGUAGUUCUUCAACAUCUGGGGAUCUACCCUUUGAGCUCCCGUGGUCUAACAUACAUCAAUUGAUUUUAGAUUAGCUUAUUUUAAGAGUUAUUAUUGAGUAACCCCCUUACAGUUACAAAGCCUUGCCUCUGCAUACUUGCCACAAUACCUUUCUACAGGAUUCAUAUAUAUUGCAUAGUAGAACGUGUCUAACAUACACCAUUUGAGAUUGUUUGUUUUUCCUUCCGAAUCAUGAUAAGGAUUGACUAGAAGAUUUACAGGAAUACGACAGAGCUUUUUAUGGAAUCAUAGUUCCACGUAAAUCAUAUGCCGUACCAGUAGUAUUUACAGGAAGUUAUUACUCUAGUAAUGCUGGGAUUCUUCCAAGACAAAUAAGUAAUGUGUGCAUCUAAAGAACAGGAUAUUGUGUGUGAAAUCAUCUCACAUAUUAUCUAAACUGAGAAUUGCGGAGAAUUUGCAAUUAUAUUUACAUAAUUAGACCAAAUUACCUAUUUUGCAAAGACAGCAAUUGUUGAUUACUUUUCUCCAGUUUCAGCUUAAACCUUCCUUGUAAAGUUUAUAGUGUAGUAAAUAUAAUGUAGGAUAUAAUAUCUCUCUCACUUAUCAUUUGUGUUAAUUAGCUAACAUGUUGGUAAUCCAACUGCAGUGAUAGAAGUAUUUACCACUAGAUAUUUAUGUAUAUUAUCUCAAUAUACCCGGUAGAUACCCUUAUUGAAACUUGCACUAACUACAUGGGGUGAAUAUUCAAGAGUGGAUAGAUUUACGUGUGUGUUUGGUCCAUGUAAAAUAAUGUAUUCCCUGCAUAUAACAUGUCAAACAAAGUAUAUUUUUGUCUGAUUAAACAAACAUCAUAAUAAAAACUGCGUGUUCUCCAUUACCAGAACUGUUUGUCUGCUGACAAUGUGUCCCCCAAUGCCAAUACUGGAGGUCUGCUGAUAACGUGUUCGCUAAUGCCAGUACUGGUAUAUUCCGAUAAUGUGUCUUUCAGUAACAGCACUGAUUGUCUUUUGAUCAUUUGUCCACCAAUAAUAUCACUUAAAUGACUCCUGCUAAUGUUUCCCCUAGUACAUGUAAUGUGUCUACUGUUUGUGUCCCCCUAUACCGGCACUGUGUGUCUGCUAAUAAUGUGCUCCAAAUUCCAGCAGUGUUUGUUUUCUGUUCAAUCAUGCUGCUAGACUAUCCAUGCUGCAAGACCAUGUUUCCAUGAAUAGAUCAUUAUGGUCUUGCACAGGGCCGCCAUCAGGGGGUGACAACGAUGAUGGUUGUCACGGACCCGUCGAUCCUGGGGGGCCCGUACUGCUUUGGCAGACCCGGGCCCCACAUUGCCUCUCUGCACACAUAGAUAGCGAAUAUCGCUAUCUAUGUGUGCAGCUGCGGGCCCCCGGCUCCCUAUACUUGCAGAGGGGGCCCAGCAGACUGCAAGUGUACUUACUAGCUCUUCCCUCCCUCUAACUCCUGCGAGAUGUGCGGCCAUCAGAGCGUUGCCACGGGUUACCAUGGCAACGCUCUGCGCAGCACGCACGCCGCACUCGCGGGAGUUAGAGAGAGGGAAGAGCUUGUAAGUACACUUGCAGUCUGCUGGGCCCCCUCUGCAAGUAUAAUGAGCCAGGGGGCCCCACAAUGCCACCAGACCACCAGGGAAUGGAAUCUCCCCCUCUCCCUGGACCAAGUAAGAACCAGGGAGGGGGAAUAACAUUUUUGGAAUGCUCCAUUUACACUACACUAACACACACACUGCAUUCACUACACUAACACACACACACUGCAUUCAUUACACUGACACACACUGCAUUCAUUACACUGACACACACUGCAUUCAUUACACUGACACACACACUGCAUUCACUACACUGACACACACACUGCACUCACUACACUAACACACACACUGCACUCACUACACUAACACACACUCUGCAUUCACUACACUAACAAACACACUCUGCAUACACUACACUAACACACACUCUACAUUCACUACACUAACACACACUCUGUAUUCACUACAAUAACACACACACUCUGCAUACACUACACUAAUACACACACACUCUGCAUCCACUACACUGACACACACUCUGCAUUCAUUACACUGACACACACUCUGCAUUCACUACAUUGACACACACUCUGUAUUAACUAUACACACAAGAUCCACUACACAAACAUCCUGUUUUCACAGUACACACACUACAUCCACCACAUAUUCAAACACUCUGCAUUCACUACAGAGACACUGCGUCUAAUACACACACUACAUCCACUACAGACACUGCAUCCACUAAACACAUUGCAUCUAGUACACACAAACACUACAUCCACUACACAAACACACACUACAUCCACUACUCAAACACACUCUGCGUUCACUAUACACACUGCAUCGCUACACAAACACACACUCUGCAUUCACUGCACAAACAGUAUCUAAUACACACAAACACUACAUCCAUUACACACAUUCUAAUUCACUUCCACUAUACACACCACAUUCAGUCCUGCAUCCUUUGCAGCGGACUAGGUAGGAGUCCUGUGGGCAUGCCGGGCAGGGGGAGGGAGGUGUGGGAGCCCAGACCUUGUGCUUUGUCAGGGGCCCCAAAAUUUCUGGUGGUAGCCCUGGUCUUGCAUCCUCAAGUCUUUUAGGCAGUUUUUCUUCUGUUGUGGCAAAUGUCAUGUCAUGUGUUAGCAUAAUUUAUUAUAUUAGAGCCUGAAUAGCGUAAUUCAUUAAACAAAGCUGUUUCCUGCAUACCGAGUAAUACAUUAUUUGCUAUCUGUUUAUAACGCUUUCAGUGCCAGACAUGUCACACAUUGUUUUCAAAUGUGAAGGUAAAAUCCCUGCCAUUUAAAGGGUUAACAUUUGAAAUACAGAUUUUUUAUUUUUUUAUUUUGACAAACAUUUUGAUAUCCCUUUGUCCAAGGGUUAUUUGGGAUUACAUAUAUUUUGGACAGAUGUCUUUUUGGAACUUAUGCCAUAUGUUUGUUCCAAAAUAAUUUAUUGCUUUCUCUUAAGAAUGAAUGCAAUUGUCCAACUUCUGAACCAAAACGAAACAUGGAAUUUGUGUUUGUUCCACCAUAAUUUAAGGGUUUCUCUUUAAGUACCCCCAUAGUCUAUAUGUGCAACUAACAAACUAACACAAAAUUAAAUGUGAAUCAAUUUCAAACUGGAAAAAAUUAGAAGAAAACAUCUGAUUACAUUUUUGCUUUUAAUAACUUUUACAUAUCAAGUGCAAUGAACUAUAAAGAACUUAAAAUAGAUUUGCAUAUCAAUCCUGAUUGUUAUGUCUAAGAUCUACCUUAAUUUUUGGUAGUUAACAAUGCUACAGUAACUCUAACCCCUACACUACUACUAACUCCAAAACAGAAUUAACCCUACCCAACAUUAAAGGAUCACUAUAGGGCAGUGAUGGCGAACCUAUGGCACGCGUGCCACAGGUGGCACGCCGAGCCCCCUCUGUGGGCACGCGGCCAUAGGUCGCCGGUGGGAGGGAGGGUGUGCUCCGCCGGCGCAUCCAUAAGGCGCCACAAGUGGCCGCCUUAGGUCGCACCGGCCCGGCGGGCGCAAAGCCGGAGUGACCAGCAGGAGGUGAGCGCACAGCGCUCCCUCCUGCCAGGCACUCUGUGUAGCGUGGCCGAUGGCGCCGCGGUACAGGAACUUAUGCUUUCUGUGCCCGGGCGGACGGAAAUGAAGUGCUCACAGAGAGAGCACUUCCUGUCCGCCGGGUACAGGAAACUGAGUUCCGCGGUGCGCUCGGCCACGCUACAAGGUAGGAGCUCAAGGGGAGGGGGAGAAAACUGAGGGAGGUAAAGGGGGAGAAAACUGAGGAGGUAAAAGGGGAAGAAAACUGAGGGAGGUAAAGGGGGGGAAAGAAACUGAGGGAAACUGAGGGAGGUAAGGGGGCUUAAAACUGAGGGAGGUAAAGGGGGAAGAAACUGAGGGAGACUGAGGGAGGUAAGGGGGAGAAAACCGAGGGAGGUAAAGGGGGAAGAAAACUGAGGGAGGCAAGGGGGAGAAAACUGAGGGAGGUAAAGGGAGGAAGAAACUGAGGGAGGUAAAGGGAGGGGAAAGAAAACCGAGGGAGGUAACGGGGAGGAAGAAACUGAGGGAGGUGGGGAAGAAAACUGAGGGAGGUAAGGGGAGAAAACUGGGAGGUAAAGGGGGAAGAAAACUGAGGGAGGUAAGGGGAGAAAACUGAGGGAGGUAAGGGGGGGAAGAAAACUGAGGGAGGUAUGGGGGGGAGAAAACUGAGGGAGGUAUGGGGGGGAACUGAAGGAGAGAUGGGGGAGAAAACUGAGUGUGGGAUGGGAGAAAAAAAUGAGGGAGGGAUAAGGGAAAGAAAACAGUGGGGGGAGGAGAGGGGGAACCACACAGCACCCCUGCCCUACACAUAUCACCCCACACAAAGACACACACCACCACCCCCACACACACACCACCACACAUCACCCCACACACACACACCACCCCCCCACACAAACCACCCCACAUCAACCCACACACACACACACACACACCACCCCACACACACACACACACCACCCCACACACAAACACAUCACCCCACACACAAACACAUACACUGUUCCCAUCAGUGCAGUGUGUGUACACUCAGCAGUGUGUGUGUACUCAGCAGUCUGUGUGUGUGUAUUUAGCAGUCUGUGUGUGUGUGUGUGUGUAUUUAGCAGUCUGUGUGUGUACUCGGCAGUCUGUGUUUGUGUGUAUUUAGCAGUCUGUGUGUGUAUUCAGCAGACUGUGUACUCAGCAGUCUGUGUGUGUAUUCCGCAGUCUGCUAAAUACAGACAGACUGCUAAGUACACAGACAGACAGACUGCCGAGCACACACACAAACUGCUUAAUACACACAUGUUAAUUAGUUCGGACAACUGAGUUGUUUUUUCUAAACUUAAACCUCAGUAUUCAGGUUUAAUUGGCGUUUUGGCACUUUGAGGAAAAAAAAAUUGGCAUGUAUUACGGUUUGGGCACUCGGGCUCAAAAAGGUUCGCCAUCACUGCUAUAGGGUCAGGAACACAAACAUGUAUUCUUGACCCUAUAGUGUUAACACCACCAUCUAGCCCCCCUGUGCCUCUCAUGCCUCCAUAUCUAAGUAAAAAUCUUACUGUAUUCAAGCCUGAAGCUGUAAAUCUGCAUGCUGUUAGACUCAGAAAAACAAGCAGUCUACAUGUGGUAGCCUGAUCCAAUCACAGUGCUUCCCCAUAGGAUUGGCUGAGACUGACAAAGAGGCAGAUCAGGGGCAGAGCCAGCAUGAUUCAAACCAGUGGCGUAUACAUGACCCAUGGGGCCCCGGUGCGAAAAUUGAUCCGUGGGCCUCCCCCGCCCACGCUUACUCAGCGCGGUUCGGGGCCGCAACACAUGGCGGCGGGGACCUGGUCGCAGGGGUUGCAGGGCUGCGACCCCGCGACUGCGGUAUGCACACACACUUAAAGGACCACUACAGACACCCAGAUCACAUCUAGUCCCUCUAGUUUUAACCCUGCAGCUGAAAACAUAGCCGUUUCAGAGGGUUAAGCCAGCCUCUGAGGGCUGUCUCAUUGACAGCCACAAGAGGAGCUUCCACGAUUCUCACUGUGAAAAUCACAGUGAGAAGACACUGAACGUCCAUAGGAAAGCAUUGAGUAAUGCUUUCCUAUGGGCGGUUUAAAUACGCGCGCCUCUUGCCGCGCAUAUGCAUUCGGAGCUGAGAGGCGGAGGGAUCCCCAGCGCCAAGGGAGUCUGACGCUGAAGAAAGGUAAAUGCCGAAGACACACACACACUCUCUCACGAACAGAGGCAUACACACUAGCUAACAGACACACACAUUUACUGACAGAGACACACUCAGUGACAGACAUACAUACACACUCACUUACAAAACAUACACUUUCACUGACAAACACACACUCACUAACAGACAUCAAACACACUCAGUAACAGACACAGACAGUAACACUCACUAGCAGACACACACCCAAUAACAGACACACUCACUGACACACAAACACUAACACAUACACACAAACACUAACAUACACACAAACACUAACACACACAAACACUAACACACACACACACUAACAGACUAACACACACACACACACACACACUAACACACACACACUAACACACACACACUAACACACACACUAACACACACACUAACACACACACACACUAACACACACACACUAACACACUCACACACACUAACACACACACACACACUCACACACACUAACACACACACUAACACACACAUUUUAAAAAAAAAAUAAUCCCCCCAGCCUCCUUACCUUUUGGAGAGCUGAGGGGAUUCCCUGGGGUCCAGUGGUGCUGCUGGGCGGGCUGGCUGUCUGGGUGGCCGGUGCGCGAGGGAGCACUCUCCCCUGAGUGCUUCCUCUUCAGCUCCCUCACGCGCCGCAUAGGGAUGCCGGAGCCGGAAGAUGACGUCAUCUUCCGGCUCCGGUAUCAGUGCGGUGCGCGAGGGAGCUGAAGAGGAAGCAUAUGCAUUCGGAGCUGAGAGGCGGAGGGAUCCUCAGCGCCAAGGGAGUCUGACACUGAAGAAAGGUAAAUGCUGAAGACACACACACACUCUCUCAUGAACAGACGCAUACACACUAGCUAACAGACACACACAUUUACUGACAGAGACACACUCAGUGACAGACAUACAUACACACUCACUUACAAAACAUACACUUUCAAUGACACACACUCACUAACAGACAUCAAACACACUCAGUAACAGACACAGACAGUAACACACUCACUAGCAGACACACACCCAAUAACAGACACACUCACUGAUACACAAACACUAACACAUACACACAAACACUAACACACACACAAACACUAACACACACACACACACACUAACAGACUAAAACACACACACACUAACAGACUAAAACACACACACACUAACACACUAACACACAAACACACACACACACACUAACACACACACACUAACACACUAACACACACACACCAACACACACACACCAACACCACACACACACUAACACACACACACACACACACCAACACACACACAUUUGGGCUCAAUCCCCCAGCCUACCUUUGGAGAGAGAGCUGAGGGGAUUCCCUGGGGUUCAGUGGAGGCGGGAGUUGAAGUCAGGCGCGAGCAUUUCGAGUGCUUCAGCUUCCUCACCAAGAUACAGCCGGAGCCGAAGAUGACGCCAUCUUCCUCGCCCGUAUCAGUGCGGUGCGGAGGGAGCUGAAGAGGAAGCACUCAGGGAGAGUGCUCCCUCGCGCACCGGCCACCCAGACAGCCAGCCCGCCCACCAGGAUCAGCAGGGUCAGCCUCGGGGGGGCCCUGAGAUGGCCGCCUCCUGGGCCCCCCAGGAGAAGAGGCUGGCCCUGUGGGUACAUACCGGGUCGCAGGGGCGACCGGGCCCCUGGUGGGCAGGGCCAAGUCGCAGCCGCGACCCCUGUGACCCUGGUAUGUACGCCACUGAUUCAAACACAGCCCUGGCCAAUCAGCAUCUCCUCAUAGAGAUUAAUUGAAUCAAUGAAUCUCUAUGAGAAAAGUUCAGUAUCUGCAUGCAGAGGGAGGAGAUACUGAAUCACAGGAUGCUGUGCACAGUGCUGCCCUGUGCUCUGCUGACAGCAGAUCUGAGUGGAUGGAGGCAUAUUAUGCCUCUAUCAACUCCGAAGUCCCUCUGGUUCACUCUGAGUGACUGCAACUGGAGGUGUUCCUAGCUUUCAAUGUAAACACUGUAUUUUCUUGGAAAAGACAGUGUUUACAUGAUAAAGGCUGCCGGGAGCUAUAGUUCUCACCUGAACAACCUCAUUAAGCUGAAGUUGUUCAGGUGACUAUAGUGUCCCUUUAACCCUACAUCUAACCCUCCCCCUAAACCUAAAAGUUCCUCUCUGCUAAUAUCAACACUGAUUUAAACAGAGGAAUUUCUAAGCCAAAUCAGUAGAGAACAUUCUAUGAUCACCAUCAGCAGGACAGGGAGAUGUCACUGUAAUGCUAAAGCUCUUUAUGCUGCGGCCACACUGUAAUCGGUGCUGGGCAGAUGGCUCCAGUUGAGCGAGAGAAGCUCCAUAUAUCAAAUAAUACUUGGGUCAACCUUGUGGAGCAGGAAUUUAACCCAACCCACAAAUUGUAGUUGCUUGGUUUUAAAUUCCCUUUAAAGGAGCUGUAUGCAGCACCCACUUUGAGCGCAGCAUACAGCUCCUUAUUAAAAAUGUUCCUAUCUGACAGUAGGGAGUCCAAUGAUUUAAUCAUACUGGGCUUUCUAGGAUGUAAUGACAUAUUCUUUUUUCAUUCAUAUUGUAUAUUGGUCUACAGGACAAAUAGGGCUUUGGUCUGAUAUCCAAUGUGUAUAUGGCUUCCAGCGUUAUCACUACUUUUUACUGGCUGACCAACCAUUAUGUCUGAUAACAAAGACCUCUCACAUAUUAGCUGCUUGCUGGUAAAGCUCAGAAAUAUACACCAUAGCACCUUGCAAGUAAAAACAGUCAUCACAGACUAAAGCCAACCUGCAUCCAUUUACUUUCAAAACCUGCCCUAAAGUGUACAAGGAUAGGAUAACAAGGACUGUCUCUACAUUAUAACAAUUUAAUUUUAUUUAAUUGUGGCAAAACAGGGCUUCAAAGUUGGGCUUGUAGCUCUUCCUACAGACCCUCUUCAUUUGUCAGUUAGAUCCUAGCCCUCUCAUACAUUGUCGGUUCUCUUAAGUGUCCCAAUUUUUAGUGGGAGAGUCCAUAUUUACAGGAAGGUCCUGUUCCGCCAUCCCAAUAUUUUUAUUGGGGACACCAGAAUACAGUCCCCAGGCAGCACAAUGUUAGUGCAUGUUGGUGCCAGGUUGACACUCCCCGUUAGUAUACAUGUAAUUAUCCUUCACUAUAGGUAUAAUUGUGUUUGCCACUAUUAUUGUGUACCCUUUACAAAUGGGUUCUCGCAAUUACUCGACUUGUUCCCUCGGGACCCUUCCACUUUGUCUCGUUUCCUUAACACCCAGUGUUUGGAAGUAUGCAUACUGACAGGUGAGGGACUUGUAUAUGUUGCUCACUGGGAGUGAAUAAGUAAAAGUACAAGGAAUGUGCCUGUUUCUAUGAUAUUCGGUGCUGCAUCCUGCCAUGCGUGUGAGCAGCACCAGCAUUCACGGGCACAGAUCCACUAGUUUGACUUGAAAGUACCCAUUCCUGGAGAGAAGUAUAUGAAAUUCCCUCCCACAUCAACACAGACACUGUUCUUGGUGAAUGAUGUAGGUGUAAAUUACUUUGCCACUAUUUAUACCCUAAGCACCAUAACCACUACUGCUUGAGGAGAGCUAUGUAAGUAUUAGGGAUGCACUGAAAUUACGUGUGGGAAGAAAACUAUGGGAUGGGGAGGGGGGGGCGAAGAACACUAUUGGACGGGGAGAGAGGGAAAGAACACUAUGGGGCAGGGGAGGGGAAGAACACUAGGGGAGGGGGAGAAAAGAACACCUAUGGGACAGGAGAGGGGGAGAAAAGUAUACUAUGGGACAGGGGAGGGGGGAGAAAAGACACUAUGGGACAGGAGAGGGGGGAGAAAAGAACACUAUGGGACAGGGAGGGGGAGAAAAGAACACCAUGGGACAGGGGAGGGGGGGAGAAAAGAACACUAUGGGACUGGGGAGGAGGGGGGAAAGAACACUAAAAAAGAGGGAGGGGAGAGGAACACUAGAGGGGGGAGAGGAACAUUAAGGAGGGAGGACUAAGGUACAGGGAAGGGAAAAGGAACACUGGGGCAGGGGGGAACCACUAAAAGAGAAGAAAGAAGGGAAGUUUUUCAUAUUAGAUUCAUUACAUUCAUUAAAAAGUCCAAUAUUAAUAAAAUUAUAGAAAAAAAACACUUUUAAAGUCAUUUUCGGUUUCGGUUUUCAGCCAAGGGCAUCCUGAAUUUUUGGUUUCGGACCAGAAUUUUCAAUUUGGUGCAUCCCUAGUAGGUAUUGGAGGUCAGGAAUGGCACGUGGCAAACCACAGGUUUGUGUUGAAAAACAGUUUAACUACUUACAAUGGGUGGGAGAGUGGCACCAGGGCACUCCUGCCACUAUAACCAUUACAGCGAGCUGUAGUGGUUAUGGUGCUUUGAAUGAUCCUUUUACUGUACCAAGAAAUUAUUGAACACCCAAAAUAUUGAAGUCUAAAUUUUUUUUCUUUCCCCACAGUGAUUUUAUAGAUAUAAAAAAUAAUGUAUAUUGUUCACAUUUAUUCUAAGUCCAAGUUUGCCAUAAAUAUGCAAUUGAUUAUUUUUUACACAAAUGGUUGUAACUAAAGCUGUGCUUUAAUAUUGAAUUUCGUGAUUUUACACACCUUUUAGAUAAUCUUGUAUAGAAGGAUCUAUAGAACAUCUCCAAACUGUUUAGCUACAGGGCCAGAUUAAGAGCCCAGUGGGCCUGGAGCUGACAAUUACGAUAGGCCUAAUUACAGAAUCUUAUUGACCAAAAACACAAACAGUCAUACCUCCCAAGCAUUAUGUAUCUGAUGGAGAUAAUGCUGGAGGGAAACUCAUAAAAUGCAACUAUAAGAAAACAGAUCCCCAAUGCUAAUUUCUCGCUUUCAUCUUUCAAGUAAAUCCAUACCCCUAACAGCAGUGUCCAGUGAAGCAGGAAGUCAAUGGGCACGGUAAAAGGGUGUGCCACUGAUACGAAUCACGUAACCAGAACUGUCAAAAAGCGACACCAUGCCCAAAAAGGGGGCAUGUCUGCCCAAAGUAUUGGAAGGCCUGCCUGGCAUGAAUGCAUGUCAAAACAAACCCUUAUUUGAAGUAUAAGAAAAAGGCAGGCUCCACACUUGGAGAAAGUAAAUACCACCUAACAGUACAAUAUCUAGAAUAAAACAAAAACUGCACAUAAUGUUAUACAGUACAGAAAAGGGUCAGGGGGGACGGGGGGGCAAGAGGGGAAAAGUGAGAAAACUCACAAGACGUCAGGAAAUUCAGGCUAAAGGGAUAAAAAUACGUCUGUUGGUACUUCAACUUGCAGCUGUAGAUUAUAAAAGGAGAGCCAAUAGCGUAAUAGGUUAAAACAAACACUUUUAAUGCUUAAAAUUGCACUUACAAGAGGGCAAUAUGUUAAGUCAUAUCUCCACCCAAGGUGGUCCCGGAACAGCACAUUGCAAAGGGUUAGAUGGAGCAGGAAAAAAAAAAAGAACAGUAAUAAAACAAAUAAAAGUCCCAAAAAUAAUAUCCAACGUAUUUCGUCCAAUCCGUGGACUUCCUCAGGGAUCUAUCAUGCAGGCUGGCCAACUAAGGGCAUACUAUGCAGACAUACCCCUGUGCUUGGCAUGAAUGCUCGCUCCAGGCUUUCUAAGGACUGUCCUAUAGAACUCACAUUUCCACUUGUCUCCUUACCUUCUUACUAGCAGGCAGAAAUCCCUGGUAUAUAGUCUGGGACAGAGAAAAGUUGUAUGUAGUGAGUUUAGAAGAAAGGGGAUGCUACAGUGUUAGAGAGACCAAAGUCAGCAUUACCUUAACGGAUUUCAUUGUCAGCCUGUCCACACAAGUUUUGUUCCCAUACAUCCCUCUUAAGUUUCCAUACUUAAGCAAGAUUAUGUGAAGAGUAGUUAGAGUUACAACCUGUCAUGGAUCGACCUUACUAAUUUGCAUAAUGAAUUAUGUAUGCAUAAUAAGAGAAAAUUCUGUAAAAUUACUUACAGUUUGAUUCUGCCGUAUAGAUGGUUUGCUCCCAGUGUCUGUCGCCCAGUGUCCCCAGGUCUCAGUGUCCCCUAUGUAUCAGUGUCUCAGUGCCCCAUGUCUCUUAGUGUCCUUUUGUGUCCCCAUCUCUCCCAGUGUCCCCUAGUGUCUCUGCCCUGAUGUCUCUCAGGGCAUUAGGACACUAGGGGACAUUGUGAGACAUGGAGACACUGGGAGACAUGGGGAUACUGAGACAUUUGGGGAUACUGGGAGAAAUGGGGACCCUGGGAGACAUGGGGGCACUUAGUGUCCCCAUGUCUCCCAGUGUCUCACUGUCCCUAUGUCUCCCUGUGUCCCCAAGUGUCCCAGUGUCCCCAAGCGUCUCAGUCUCCCCAGUGUGCCCUAGUGUCUCAGUGUCCCCUAGUGUCCUAGUGACAUCGGAACAUUGGGAGACUAGAGGACACUGGUAGACUAGGGAACACUGAGACACUGGGAGACUAGAGGACCCUGAGACACUAGGGACAAUGGGAGACUAGGGGACGCAGACACUAUGGACACUGGCUUGGAGAAAUGGAGACACUGAGAGACAUGGGAUAUUGUGUCCCUAGUGUCUCAAUGUCCCCAAGUGUCUCUGUGUACCCAAGUCUCCCAGUGUCCCAAUGACUCAGUGUCUCCCAGCGUUCCCAUGUCUCCCAGUAUCCCCGAGUGUCUCAGUGUUCCUGUGUCUCCCAGUGUCCCCAAGUGUCUCAUUGUCCCCAGGUUUCCUAGUGUCCCCUAGUGUCUCCCAGUGUCCCCAUGUCUCCCUGCAGCCUUUCCCCCCACCCUUCACUUACCUGAGCUGUAGGCUGUCUCUGCAGGCUGGGAGCUGCUGUCUGGGCUCAUUGUGCUGUGUAGCUGCUCCCCCGCGGAUCAGUGAGUAGAGAGAGGCGGGGAUAUGCUGUAACUUCCUAUCCCUGCCUCUAUCCAUACAGUGACCCCUACUAGCCUGCUGGUAUAGCAGAGUAAUCUCUGUUUAUACUGAAAAAAAUACCGGCAUUUGUAUUGCCAGUAAUACUGCAAUACAGGCACUGACCAGGCAGCAGGUAGAAUACCGGCCAGGUGCAACCCUAAGAGUAAUGUGUAAAAAAAAAAAAAAAAAGUGUACAAAAAAAAGUGUUUUUUUAUUUUAAUUUGUUAAAGGGACUCUCCAGGCAAACAAUUUUACUCACCUGAUUCCAGCGCCGGGAGCCUCGUGAAGCCGCGCCACAUAUUUCGUCAAAAUGAUGAAAUAGGCGCUUUCCCAUUUGGAAGCGUCAUCGCUCACUUGUGCGCAUGCGCGGCUUGGCCGCACAUGCGCGCAUACUUUUGAAGUCCUGAGCGCACUGCCGCGCAUGCGCGCGGUGUGCCCGGCUGCGAACUGACUGACAGCUCAGCUCGUGGUCUUUGCCCACCCCCACUCCUCUGCUGACAGGCAGAAGAGAGAAGGCGCGCACACAGUGCCUUCUCUCUAAUGCACACGUCAGACGUAUUUUAAUACGUCUGACAUGUGCAAGGCCUUUUUAGGGCCCUGCAUGAUAGGAAGUCCCUCUGGUGGCCGUCUGAGUGACGGCCACUGGAGGUAUUCCUAUCAAUCAAUGUAAACACUGUAUUUUCUCUGAAAAUACAGUGUGUACAUUAGAUUGCCUGCAGGGAGCUAUAGAUCAUACCUGAACAACUACAUUAAGUUGUAGUUGUUCAGGUGACUAUAGUGUCCCUUUAACUCAAUGGGCCUAUUUAAUGGGAAUGAGCCUGGAGCUGCAAUUCCAUCAGCCCGUAUGUUAAUCCGGCCCUGUUCAGCUAUCUCAAAGGAACAAUAUAAAUAUGUAUAGCUAUGUAUAACGUUUGAGGGUUUCUGGUGCCUUUUAGGAAGGCCCUCACUGUAAAAUAAUAAAGCAAAACUCUCUUUUUACCUAGCAAUCCUGGUCUUGCCACGACCACUGCUCAACCUUUAUGUGAGAAUGUCCAGAUGGAUGAUCUCAGCCAAUCAAAUGCUCCUUCAUAAAGAGCAUGUGCUAAACUAAUAAGAUCCUUUGUAUAGAGAAGUCAUAUAACACUUCUCUAUGUAGGCUUAAAGGACCACUAUAGGCACCCAGACCACUUCAGCUUAAUGAAGUGGUCUGGGUGCCAGGUCCAGCUAGGGUUAACCCUUUUUUUAUAAACAUAGGGGACCCUGAGGGUGGGGGCACCCUUAGGGCACUAGAGUGUCAGGAAAACGAGUAUGUUUUCCUGGCACUAUAGUGGUCCUUUAACAGCUGUCAGGAUUGUCUCGACACUGAAUGUGAAGACUACUUUUUUUUUUUUAACAACCUCUAGCUCCUGUUUGAGACAUGCUGUUUUGCAGUUUCACACUAGUGGCAAUGUUUGUAUUUGUCACAAUGCAGGAACAGCAUAUAUACAGUGGCAGCUCCUCUUUAACAUUGAUUACAAUUCUUUCAAGAUGUAAUUUGAGGGAUUAUUUUUCGCUGUCUGGUUGCUAAGGAGUGGCUAACAUAAUCCCUAAUAUAACUAUUUGCCCACAUUUUGUAUGGAUGACAAGGAAACAUUUAGGUAUGUAGAUCUGUGGUCUAUGCAUUCAGCUAGCAAACAUUGCCAGCAAAUGUAUACUUGUGCUGUACAUAGAUUAGCUGCUAUGCUCAGAAUGGCGCUAUUUGUUUCCAACAGUAGUUAGAAUGAUAGUGCAUGUUAGGAUUUAUGGAAUGCCAAUCACAUCAUAUGGAGUGUAUAAUUGCAUGUACAGACACACUUGGGUCCUCAUGGAAGUGGUCUUUUUACUUAUAUGCCAAUGGCAUGCUGAUUAUUCCACAGUAACCCACAGGAACAUGUGUGAGAAUUUGUUCCACCCUGAAAAAAGUCAUUUUAAAACCACUUUUAAGCUUUAAUUGUUUUGCUUGUGAAAAUGAAAAUGAACAUUGUAAUUAAGACCAGAAAUAAAUGAUAUAGAAAAUAACAAAACACUGCGUUUUUGGAAAAAGUUAAAGUUCCUUGAAGACUCUGUUGUAACAUUUAUUUUACAGUUAUAUUGAAGUUGGGUCCCUGAUAUGACCAACAUAUGUGUCCUGCAUUCUCAUUUGUGCCAUCUUUAGAGAGCUUCUAUCCUGAAAGUUAAACAUUUGUUUCUAAUCCUUUGUUUCCUUGAGGGUACAUCAUGAUGAACUAGAGGAACAAUAAGCACUAUAACAAGUACUGUAAUUAUUGUACUAGGGGUGCCCUAGCAACUUUCCAAUUAAGUGGUCAGAUGUUUGCUAAUGUUUUGAUGACUUGCCGAAGUCACGUCUUCCAUGAGAGCCGACAACUCUCUGCAUUGAGCUCAGGUGGUGGUGCAGGGCGAUAGCUGAUGAGCUUUGACUCGGUCAUUGCAAUGGGAGCCUCUCUAUUGGCUGUCAUACUGAAAAGUGGGAGGCACCUAUACAAACUUUUGUAAUUCCUACACCGUUCACCUGAUUUGGAUGUAAAAACCCUCAAAUUAAAGCUGAAAGUCUGCAGUUAAAGCACAUAUUGUUCAUUUCAUUUCAAAUCCAUUGUGGUGGUGUAUAGAGCCAAAAAGAUUAGAAUUGUGUCGAUGUCCCAAUAUUUAUAGACCUGACUGUAUAUUUAUUAGUGUCUUCAACAAAUGCAAUGCAUACAUAAAAUACAUAUACACAGACUGCUGCAUACCUGCACACACACACACACACACACACACACACACACACACACACACACAGAAUGUUGAGUACACACAGUCUGCUGAAUACAUACACACAGUCUGCUGAAUACAUACACACAAACACACACACAUACUGCAUUGAGGGGUGCAACGUAGUAUGUGUAUGGGUGCGGAGUGUGUGUGGAGUGCUGUAUGUCUCUGAGGGAUGCUGUGUGUGUGUGAGGUGUGCUGUUUGUGUGAGGGAGUGCUGUGUGUGUGUGUGUGGGGGGGGGGCUGCUGUGUGUGUAUUGAGGGGUGUUGUGUGUGUGGGUGGGUGCUGUGUGUAUUUGCAAGGGGGGCUGUUUGUGUGUGGGUGCUUUGUGUGUGUGGGGUGGUGCUGUGUGUGCGGGGGCGCUGUGUAUGGGGGUGGGUGCUGUGUGAGGGGGGUGUUGUGUGUGUGUGUGUGUAUAGGGGGUGCUGUGUGUGUGGAGGGGGGAGGUUGCUGUGUGUGGGGGGAGGAGUGCCACAAAUAUAUUAAUAAAAUCACAGCCAGCCCUGGUGGUCCGGUGGUGGUAAGUAUGUAGGACAGGAUCUGCAGCUCUCCUGUCCUCCAGCGGGCAGAAUGCUGUGUGUAUCAUUGCCACGGUAACGCGCAGCAACGCUCCACACAGAUUGCUCGCCGGAGGACAGGAGAGCUGCUUUCCAGAUCCCUCCCCCUGCUUCCGUGUCUUCCCGACACGAAAGCAGAGUAGGCGCUUUGGGGGGCAGGUGCCUAUUCUGCAUUGCAGCCAACCAUAGACAGGGCCCGGCAUGCCAUAGGCUCGCCAUCACUGGCUUAUUCACUAAAAUGUUGAAAAUUAAGUAGCAUAAAAAUAAUAAUAUACUACCAGUGGGGAAUGGGUGUUUGUUUGUGUGUGUGCUGUUUGUAUCAUUUGUACGAAUAAGAAGCGUCUUCUGCAGCUCUACGUAUAUCUAGCAGUGUGGAGUGCUUCCUUGGGAUCCAGUGGGGACCGGACUAGCCAGGUACAGUUUUAAGGGCAGGAGCUGCAAUACCUGCUGUGGGCUGCUCUGCUCCAGUGCGGAUUACCGUUCUCUUCACAUGCUCCUGCUUAACUACUGAAACUUAAGAGGGAUGUAGGGGAACAAAACUGGUGUGGGCUAUCUGACAAUGAAAUGAGUUAAGGUAAAGCUGACUGUGCACUAUGCAAAUGCUCUUGCUGUUUCAGUCUCUCUAACACUGUGGAAUGUUCCCUUUCUUCUACACUCACUACAUACACUUUUUUUUUCUGUCCCAGACUGUAUAACAUGAGCUUCUCCCAGCUAGUAAGAAGGUUGUGGGGUAUGGACAAGGGGACAGUCCUAGGUGGCCCAACCUUGACCUGGACACUGCUGUUAGGAGUAUGGAUUUACUUGAGAGAUGAAAGCGAGAGAUUAGCAUAGGGUAUGUGUUUUCUUAUAACUACAUCCUAUGAGCUUCCCUCCAGCAUCACCUCCAUCUGAUAGUUUGACGAUUGGGAGGUAGGACUGUUUCAGUGUUUUCUGUCGAUUAGAUUCUGUAAUUAGGCCCAUCAUAAUUGUCAGCACCGGGCCAAAUGGGCUCUUAAUCUGGCCCUCUGUAUGGGGGUUUAACCCUGUAAAGCACUGCAGUUUUGUUUUGUUUUUUUAUUUUUUUUGCAGGACAUAAAAUAAAAAAAGUAUAAAAAAUAAUUAUGCAAAUAAGUUUUUUUGUUUUUUUCUACUGGAAUAGAAUUAGUGCGCUAAAAGCAUUUUCCAGUUCAUUGAGUUUCUACUUUUCUUUCUGUUAAAGUAAGCCGUUGUGUGGGUGUAAAAUCCAAGAAUUUCCCAUUCCAAUUCAAAACUUAAAUUAGGACCCCAAGAAUGCAGUCAAUUUGGUCUUAAGAAAAAAGCUGUUAGGGAGACUUCUCCCUUAAAUGAUGAUAAGCCAGAGACCAUGCUAGCCACCUUUGCAGCAUCUUCAGCAGACUCAGCAAUGUCCAGCCCAAAACCUAGUAAGAGAAUGCCUGUAUUACAUUCUAAACCUCAAAUGCAGGGGAAAGGUAGAGUGUCAGAGCAUUCUGAAAAUGCUAAACUUAAUCAUAAAUGUUUACUGAAACAAAUGAGUAGCAGAAGCAGCAUCCUCACAAGUACUAGGAGCAAUGUAGCCAGGCCGUCAAUGCCACAAAUGUCAGAAACAACGUUAUAUUGUACAGUGAAAAUAGAGAGGGAAAAGAGGAAGAGCAGCAGUCUAUUGUGAGGACUCCAUCUCACGAAAAACAAAAAAGCAAAGGAUAAUAGGAGAAGUACUACUAGUUUGACACAGGCAGCAAUUACAUCUUCCCCUCCCCACAUGUUGUGCCAUAACCAGUGUCACACUAACUAGUACUAUUGCAGCAGGUUGUGGUACAAUAAAAAGCACAUUAAGAAUCAGCAGUGGUUCUUCAGUGCAGCACGAGAAGAGCAGCAGUGCUAUGAAAUCAACCAUUUUAUGUCGGUCUAGUGCACAGGAGAGAAGUGUGGGAUCAUUUUGAUAGUAUGGGAUGAGUGUGUGGCAAAAUGCAGGCUAUGUGUCAAAGACGUUAGCAGGGGAAAAGUUUUAGGACAUUUGACAAGUUCAGGGAUGAACAGUUAUCUCACAAGGAUGUUCUGUUACAGGAAAAGAGUGUUAGCAGAGUUAGCCACGGUGUAGUGCGGGUAGAAGGUUGAGCACCAGAAGAAGCGAUAUCUUCUAGCACCAGAAGGAAGCAGAAAGCUCAAGCUAGUCAACAGAGAUGAGAAGGGAGACAACACCAUCAGCCGAGCUUUGAGGAAUUUAGCUCUUUACAUGUAAGGGGCAUGUAAAAAAAGGUCUAUAAUUGCAGAUUUCCUGACAAAAAAUAGAGUACAAAUUUGCGCCCUACAAGAAACCCACUGGACAAGAUCCAAUAAAAAUAUAAUUAGAUCAUCAAGAUACCCCACUAUCAUAGGCACGGCUCUAGAGAAGAAAAGAAAAAAAAGGUGUAGCAUUUAUGUUUGCAAAACAUGUCUCCCUAAUUAUUAAACAUCAAGAAUUAGACCCAGAAGGACGUUCUAUUAUUUUAAUCUGCUAAAUAAAUAAUAAAUUAUUCACAUUAGCUAACAUUUAUGCAUCAAAGAAAACUACAAUAAAAUGUAUCACAAAAGUGUUUAAAUAAAUAGAGCAGAUUGAACAAGGGUUGGUAUUAAUCAUGGGGGACUUUAACUGCGUAGUGAACCCUUUGAAAGACAGAAAGAGCCAGAAUGACAGGAAUAGCAGGAAAAAAACUGAAAACAGAUUGCAAAAUUUACUAAAUAACCAUAAUUUAAGCAAUAUAUGGAGAACAUUUUACCCCUCUGACCUAGACUACACAUGCUAGUCUAGAACAUUUAAUUCAUACUCCAGAAUUGACCUCAUUCUGGGUAACAGUACCAUGUUAUAUCUUGUUAAAAGAAUAGAGAUACAGGAUAUAGCAUGGUCAGAUCACAAUCCCAUCAUGUUGGAAUGCAAAGAUAACUUUGAUACAUUCUGUAAAGAGUGGCGUGUAAAAGAUUUUAUAUUACAUAAAUAAAAACAAUGAUAAAGAAAUAUAAAGAAUAUAACAAAUCUUUUCUUUUCCGAAAAUAAAAAUAAAGGUACACCAGAUAUCACGGUCUGGUAUGCUUAUAAGAGCGUAGCUACAGGCCACUUGAUAAAAAUGGCAGCCUUGGCAAAUAAGAAAGGAUUACCGCCUCUCCAUAAUCUGUACAUAACACUAAGCAACAUGAGAGGCAGAAUAAAAUAACACUUUCCACACAAAUAGCAACAAAGAUUAUAGAAACAGAAAAACAGAUUAAUAUCCAAAUUAAUGAAUAAAGCAAACAAUCAGUUAGAUGCACUACAUUCCAAGUGGUAUCUAAAGGGCAAUAAACCAGUAACACUAAUGUCCAACAAAUUGAAAACAGAGAAACAGAAAAAAUGGGUAGAGCCUUCCAGAUAUUUUAUCAGAGUCUAUAUAACUUACCAGAAGAAACAUUUGGGGGGGGGAAAGAGACUGAGGAAUUCUUUGAAAAUUUACUCAUGCCAAAGAUUCUAACCGACCAAUUAAAGUGGAUAUACCAGCGCACAACAGAAGCAGAGGUCAGUAAAUCCAUAGAUAAGCUCAAAAUUAAGACUGCCCCAGGCCCAGACUGUUUCACAAAUACAUUUUACAAACUAAUAAAAAAGAUCAAAUAAAAGGGGAACUCACCAAUAUUUUCAACUACAUAAUGAAAACAGGAAGCUGUCCUGGAGAACUGUUGAGAGCGAACAUUGUUCCAAUCCCAAAAGCAGAUAAAGACCCAGAAUUGAUAGGUAAAUAUAGACCUAUAGCGUUAAUUGAUACAGAUAUUAAAAUAGUAUCUUCUAUUCUCGCAGAUAGAUUAAAAACAGUUAUACCACAACUAAUUAAUAAUGAUCAAGUAGGAUUCAUACCAGGGAGGUCCUCAAUCAACAAUAUUAGAAAAAUAAUAAACAUACUAGAAUUAACAGAAAUUAAAAAAAACCCUCUAAUACUACUGUCAAUAGACGCAGAGAAAGCGUUUGACAGGGUUGGCUGGGGCUUCAUGUUAGCUACCUUAAAACUAUAUGGAAUCACAGUAUCAAUACUACAAUACUAUCCGCCCUCUACAGUUCACCAUCAGCCAAAAUAAAAGGGUCAGGAUACACAUCACAAAUUUUUAGAGUAAAAAAUGGGACUAGACAAGGCGCCCCCUUUCCCCUUUAGUGUACAUAAUGGUGUUAGAACCUCUCGCAAUUCUAAUAAGACAAAAUAAAAAGAUUAAAGGGUUUACGAACUCCCUAGGACAAAGUAAACUAAAUAUUUACUACAUCCUACUAACCUUAGAAGAACCAAAAACCUCAAUCCCAGAGCUACUGAAGGAGAUAAAUAAAUACUCUUGAGUGUCAGGAUAUAAAAUGAAGUUAGAGAAAUCAAUAUUUAUAGCAAAAACCUGAAUAAAAGGUUAAUCAACUUUCUUGUACAAAAUCUAGGGCUACCAGAAAACAAGGACAGAUUAAAAUAUUUAGGCAUAACAUUAACCUCAGAAUUAAAAGAAUUAAAAGAUAUAGUAGAAGCCAACUUUCUACCUCUAUUAACUCAAACUAAUAAAAAUUUAAGGGACUGGAAAGGCAUGGGAUUUUCUUGGUCAGGCAGGAUCAAUAUUCUAAAAGCAUAUGUUUUACCAAAAUGGUUGUAUUUAUGGAGAAUGAUCCCACUUAAUUUCCCAUAAAACUGGCUAUCUUUACUACACUCUUCCUUUCAUAAAUUUGUAUGGUGCUGCAAGAAAGCAAGAGUAAAAAUGAAAGUUUUGGCUUGAUCAAGGCAGGAUGGAGGUUUGAUUCGUCCGGAAACAAUACAAUGUUAUCAGGCCAGUAAACUUUUUCAUAUUUUACUAUCGCAAAAUAUUGCUGAAAUCCAAGCAACAUGGUACAAAAUGGAAAAAGUUAAAAUUGGGGUAGGAAAUCUAACGUCACUAUUCUGGGUACUAGAUGUAAAUAAAAAGUUCAUCAAAGAUGCACGAACUAAAUCCCAGAUACUCAAAGAAUUAACAAGUUGGUGGGACAAAUUAAAAAACAAUACAGAACUCAGAAACUGAAUAAUAGAGACGUUUCCUUUCUCUAGUAUUUCAGAUAUGUUGGAUAACAUAAAAGUAGAUGCCUGGAAGACUGAGGGGGGAUAAGGGAAUUUAAAAACAUAAUAACGGAACAUGAAAUCAAAAUCUACAAUCAAAUCGUGGAGGAAUUCAGAAUUCCCUCCAAAGAUACUUUUAACUAUCUGCGAAUUAAGAGGUUUUUUUUAACAAAAUAUCUCCUCCAAAAUGAAGGGGAGAAAGUUACAAUGCUUGAACAUCUAAUUGAAUUAAAGAACUAUAGAAACUGAUAGAACUGAUUAACAAAUGGGGAAAAGAACUACAAAUACAUAUAGAAGAAGAAAAGUGGAUAAGCUCUCUAAACAGAUAACAUAAAUAUGUACAUUGUUUAAACCUUACAGAAACCCAAUUUAAGCUCUCAAACAGAUGGUAUUUAACACCGAAACAAUUAAAGAAAAAUUUUCCAGAUACAUCAGAUAGAUGCUGGAAAUGUCACAUUAAUGUAGCAAUUUAAUCCACAGUUGGUGGCAGUGCAAACCAAUAAAUAACUUCUGGAAAGAUGUAAUCAAGGCAAUAUAUAAAUUAACAGAUAUAAAAUUAGUUUUCCAACUAGAAGUGGUUCUGCUAAACUUGUACUGGCCAAAAAUUACCCAAAAAAUAUUAAGGAUAAUUUUACAUAUAAUUACAGCAGCUAAACUGCUUUUAGCACGAAACUGGAAAACAGAGACAAUCCCACGCAUCCAAGAAUUAAUAACACAAGCCUUUUGGCAAGCAAGAAUGGAAAGGGGUAUCUUGGUGAGUUUAGGAAACAGAUAUACUCAAAUAGAAGACUGGGAGAUUUGCAUAGGUAAAAUGGAAAGGUUAAACUAACAAUCAACACCGCCAUCACUCCCCCCCCUAAUGAACCCAGUAUGUAAAAAUUAGCGGUGGCAGUUAAGGACCAAACUUAGUAAAAAGAGGGCCAGAAAGAAAAGGAAAGGAAAAGAGAGAAGGAAAGGGAAGGAAAAGGGAAGGAAAAAGAUUGAAGGGAGAAAAGGAAAAGGAAAGAAAAAAGAGAAAAGAAAGAAGUAAAGGAGAGGGGAGAAAAAGAAAAAGAAAAGAUUUCACAUCCUAAACGGCAGACAAAACAGAAUAAUAAAAUAAGAAUAAUUUACUAGAUAUAAGUGAUUCUCACUCUCGCCAAAAAAAGAAGAAAAAAAAAAAAAUAUAUAUAUAUAUAUAUAUAUAUAUAUAUAUAUCUAAAAUGAACACCUCAGGAUAGUUUUUUUCUAUCACUUACCAAAAAUCCAUAAAUGUUUGUCUAUUUACCAAGUGAUUUCAAAGAUUUGCAGGGUUAGUUAAGUCUUAAGUCUUUUGAUCAUGUAGUUCGUAUGGCUGUUUCUUAGUGCAGUCUGUGCAGAUUUUAAUUUUAAUUUUAAAGAAUACUCCAACCUUCAUGACAAUUUAAAAUUGCUAUGGGGUAAGAGUGUCCAGGCUCCUUCUCACCUUCAGGGAAUUUUCUCAUUUCUUGUGUUUUCUGUUGCUCAGGAUUGUUUUUAUUUUGAGAGAAAGAUGUAAUGCAAACACUGUUGGGGGGAUACUCCCACUAGGGUGCCACCAAACAGGGAAGGCCAAUUACCAAGUAAUUGUCAGAAAAUAAAUAAUGUUUCAGGCCCUAAAGCUAAAUCAAGUGAGCAGGUUUAUUGCAACAGAUGAACAGCAACGAUUCGGCCCACAACAGGGACUUUGUCAAAAUUGACAAAGGCCCUGUUGUGGGCCGAAACGUUGCUUUUCAUCUGCUCCAAUAAAUCGGCUUACUGGAUUAAGCUUUAGAACCUCAAACAUUAUUUAUUUUCUGAGGCCCUGUUGCUUCCUGGGAUCCAGGAGAGUGCGGUAUCCUUAACGGUAAUUAAAUUCCCAAGUAAAGUCAAUCUUCAAAAUACACAAUGUCUGUGCACACCCGUGGUAAGAGUGCCAAAUUGUUUGUUUUCUAUGCUUCUUCAAUAAAGACUGCUUUAUUAGAAAACCAUGGGUGUGCCAAGACGUUGUAUAUUUUUCAGGUUUGGUUUUAUGGCUGUCAGACUGUUUUGUUGUUUUUAAAUAAAUGUACAAUUCAUUUAACAAAACGUAUUGUAUUUUGAACCUAAUUUAGUGUAGUGGUGUCAAUAUAGCCAGCAGGGCCACCAUCAGGGCGACAACUAUGACGGUUGUAAUUGGCCCAGUGGUCCUGAAGGGCUCGGAAAGUUCCAAGCCCCACAUUGCCUAUGUACAAAUAUAUAUAUAUAUGUGUGUGUGUGUGUACCUGCGGACCCGCGGCUAAGUGUUCGUUGCAGAGGGGGCCAGGGACACUGAUUCCACUUCCCAGCAGCUCCCCUGUCUCUAACGCUCGCGAGCCCUGCGGCCAUCAGAGUGUUGUCACGGCGAAGCUCCGCACGGCACGCAGGCCGUGAGAGUUAGACACUGAGGAUCUGCUGGGAAGUGAAGUCAGAGUGUGCUGCUUGGCCCCCACUGCAAAGUUCAACGGCUUGCUCCGAGCACCAAGCCACCUGACCACCAGGGAAUGCGAUCUCCCCCCUUCCUGGCCGGGUAUGAAGCAGGGAGGGGGGACUAAAAUAAAUUUAAAAACAAUAAAAAUGCCCACAGUAUUUUACACAUACAUUACAUGCCUACACAAACACACACACUCUGCAUUCACUAUGUACACACCACAUCCACUACACAAACCCACACUGCAUUCACUAUACAAACACUACAUGCAUUUAUACACACUGUACACACUACGUCUACCACACAAACACUCAGCAUUCACUAUAUACACUCUGCAUUCACUACACAAACACACAGUGUAUUCACUAUACACACACUACAUCCACUACACAAACACUCUCCAUGCACUACACACGCAGUAUCUAACACAUACAAAUACUACAUCCACUACAUAUGGCCAAAAAGUACCAAAAAUAUAUUAAUGAUAAUUUUCCAUAUAAUUACAGCAGCCAAACUGCUUUUAGCACGAAACUGGAAAACAGAGACAAUUAAUAACACAAGCCACUCUGCAUUCACUAUAAACACACACUACAUCCACUACACAAAUACACACUCUGCAACUAAUAUACACCUCAUACAUUACAAAAACAUGCAAUCUGUAUCCACUUUACACACUGCAUCCAUUACACACACCGCAUCCACUUUACACACGCACUCUGCAUCCACUACAUCAGGGGUGUCAAACUCAAAUUCAUCGGGGGCCGCAUCAGCAGUUUGGUCACCCUCAAAGGGCCGGUUGUAUCUGUAGGACUAUGUGUCCACUCUUUAUUAUCAUAAAUUAUUGUCACUGCAUUCAAUUAUUACAUGGGCAGAACGGGUGUAUGGGGGGCAGUACGUGUGUAUGGGGGGCAGUGUGUGUGUAUGGGGGGCAGUGUGUGUGUAUGGGGGCAGUGUGUGUGUAUGGGGGCAGUAUGGGGGCAGUGUGUGUGUAUGGGGGGCAGGAGUGUAUGGGGCAGAACGGGUGUAUGGGGGCAGUACGUGUGUAUGGGGGCAGUGUGUAUAUGGGGGCAUGUGUGUGUGGGAGGCAGUGUGUGUAUGGGGCAGUAUGGGAGCAGUGUGUGUAUGAGGGGCAGUAUGGGUGUAUGGUGUGGGCAGGGCAGUAUGGGUGUAUGUGGGGCAGUAUGGGUGUAUGGGGGGCAGUUUGUGUAUGGGGCAGUGUGGGUGUAUGGGGGCAGUGUGUGUGUAUGGGGGGCAGUGUGUGUGUGUAGAGUGUGUGAUAUAAGGGUAGGGGGGCUUUUAUAUAUUAUAUAUAUAUAAUUUUAAUUAAAAUAUAUAUUUAUGUCCCCCCUCCCUUCUUACCUUUACUGGGGGGAGGGGGUACAUUUCCCUGGUGGUCCGGUGGGGGAUUCAUUGGUGGUCCCAGUGGGGAGAGUGAACUCUAGCCCACGCUCCAGGGCUAGAGUUCACUCUCGCGAGAUUUGGAGCGUUGCCGUGGUAACCGCGGCAACGCUCCAACUCCCGCGAGAGGAGGACCCGGAGGAGCUGCAGCCUGAGCUCCGGGUCCUCUAUCCCUCCCUCCCCCGCCGGCUGUCAGCACUGUGCCUGCGGACCGGGGAGGGAGAUCUGUGAUCUCCCCUCCGGUCCACAGGCACAUUGCUGGGCUGGCAGGAGAGGGAGACCGUCGGUAUUCUCGGGGGGGGGGCAAUUGCCCCGUUGCAACACUUUAAGGUAGUUUAAGUUUGAGUAGUUUAAGGGAAAACAUGUAAAUGUGUUGGAAUGGCCUAGUCAAAGCCCAGACCUCAAUCCAAUAGAAAAUCUGUGGUCAGACUUAAAGAUGGCUGUUCACAAGCGCAAACCAUCCAACUUGAAGGAGCUGGGGCAUUUUUGCAAGGUGGAAUGGGCAAAAAUCCCAGUGGUAAAAUGUGGCAAGCUCAUAGAGACUUAUACAAAGCGACUUGGAGCUGUGAUUGCCUCAAAAGGUGGCUCUACAAAGUAUUGAUUUAGGGGGGUGAAUAGUUAUGCACAUUGACCUUUUCUGUUAUUUUGUCCUAUUUGUUGUUUGCUUCACAAUAAUAAAAAAAAAAAUCUUCAAAGUUGUGGGCAUGUUCUGUAAAUUAAAUGAUGCAAAUCCUCAAACAAUCCAUGUUAAUUCCAGGUUGUGAGGCAACAAAACACGAAAAAUGCCACGGGGGUGAAUACUUUUGCUAGGCACUGUAUGAAUAGGGUUGUUGAGUUGUUUAGGGGGUGCAAUGCCAAACUUCUAACGUGUUUUUCAAAUUUGACAUAUUUUCUUUGCCUAUCUUGUUUUUGGGGCCUUUUUACAUAUCUCAAUUUACGUUCUUGCCAUAAGCGUACAUAUAUUUGAAAAGUUGACACCCCACGGUAUUGUAUAUGGAGUGUUUUGAUGCCUUUGAUGCAAUCAUUUUAGUCAAAAAAUUGUAUAUGAGUUAGGGGAGCCUGUUUUUUUGCAAGAAAACAUUCCAGGUUGUUUUCUGCAAGGCCUCCUGAGUACAACCGUGCCCCCUAUGCACAGGUUUGCCAGGAUUUUGGGAAGGUUCAGUUACAAUUGUAUGACUUGUAAUUUGGUUUGAAAUUGAGUGUAUUUCUUCUGAUAGGCCUAUCUUUAGUUUGGGGCUUAUCACGUACCCCAGUUUUAUUUAUUGCCAUGAAAAUGUAUAUAUUUGAAAUGUAAAGACCCUAAGGUAUUGUAUAUGGAGCGCAUUGAUGGAACCGUUUUAGCCCAAAAAAUUGGAGAAAGUGUGUGGUGGUAAUUUUUCAAUUUUUAUUUUUACACACACAUUGCUUUUUGACUGAUUUAGGAGAGCCUGUUGUUGGUUAUUGCAAGAAAACACUCAAGGUUGUUUUCUGCAAGGCCUCCUGAGUACACCCAUGCCCCCAUACAUAGAGUAAACAUAACCAAAAAAAAAACUGAACGGCAAAUGUUAAAUUUAUUUUUUAAAUUGACCAGUGUGUGAGAUCGUUUGACGCAGUCCCCAAUGCAGAGUCCAGGCUGUCCAGGGCAAUCAGGACAGUAAUGUACGAUAUCUUUUCUCUGCCCGCUCUUAAAACAGACUGCAUCUUUUUUGGGGAUUCUGCUUUGCCACCGUAGGGGGGAGUUUAAAAAUAAAAUUUGUAGCCCCAACUCUGCUCUCUCCCAUCACCGUCUAGGGAGCAGUUGCAUCACGGUACAAAAUCCCUUAAAUGAUGUGGAGCUGAAACUAAAACACUCAGUUGCAUUCCGGGGUUUGCUUUUUUGAACAACAAAAAGUGUUGUGCAACCUUUUUGUACCAGGCCCUUGUCUUCCAUAUUAUUAGGCUGGCCUGCAGCAGUUGAUCUGCCAUAUCAACCCCACCCAUAUGCCGGUUAUAGGCCUUGAUGCACACUGGCUUACUUGUGCUCUCUGCUCUGCCACGUACAGAGACCUCCACACUCCUCUCAGUGUGGAUGGUGGUAAGAAAGUACACAAAACCACCAAAUGAUACCGCACUCAAGAAAGAAAGUGCAUAUGAAUAUACAUUUAUUGCCACAACUUAAUAAAAUUGGAAAUAGUACUCAUUUAUCCUGUUUAACCCCUUAAGGACACAUGACAUUUGUGACAUGUCAUGAUUCCAUUUUAUUCCAGAAGUUUGGUCCUUAAGGGGUUAAAGACACCAAAGGUAUGUUGAUAGUCAUAUUCAAUGGUUUGCCCACCACUAUCAAAGUGUAGAGACAGGGUAUAAAACACUUAGUGUCAGAUCACCAAAAAAUAUAGUCUACCUAUACACAGCUCAAGUACAAGAAAGAAAGUACAGUGCUUGUUAUGCCUAUACAAUCAGUCUAAAGUGCAACACAAAGCAAAAUACUGUAUCCUUAUCUGGGGACUCUUUAUUCGUUUUAUAAUGUGUUUUAAUUUUGUAUUUUUGUAGUGCCUAACGAUAUUACAAAGAUGCUUGAGGUGCCCCAACAGCAGUUCUCAUGCCAAGCUUCAUGUAUAACAAUAAGGUUAUUGUGAAAGCAUGCACAUUUUUUGAAUAGUAGAUUAAGCAAACUUAGAAUAGAGUAGUUUCGGUUCAAAACUGGACACAGAAAAAUGCAAUUACUCAACUAUUAUAAUAAAACAAGAAGGGAAGAAGGUUAUUACAUGUCAUUAAUGCCACUGGGUACCCCUUAAGGACUGCGUUAAGGACACUAGCAUUGAGGGCUAUUGCCAGAAACUUUUGUUUUAUAUUGUCCUUCUGAAAUUAAAGGUGGAGCACCAGGGGAUGCACUUCAAAUUCAAACUGUCCAAGACUCCAAUCUUUUUUCCUGUUUGGCUAUUAUAGAUCGCUUAUUGAUUUCCAUUUGGAUACUUAAUACAGUGGGUACUUGGAUGGCAGCGUGUACCGGACCAGGAAUGGAGUACAGUUUUUUCUUGUUGGCAUUGGGUCCCUUCAAGUACGUUCAGUAAUGCGGAUGGAUGUAGCCUGUAUCUGGAUUUAUCUAUUGGAUCUCCGACUGGACGACACUAAUUUGAUUUACUGGAUAUCUUCAUAACUUUGAUUGGUUUUGAUAUGUAUUUGAUUGUGAAUGAAUAUUUUCUAUCAUUUAAGAAGAAGCUUUGUAUGUUUAUUGUAAGUGUUAUUAAAAGCUGUAUAACUAAUCAGGUUAGUUGGUAUUGAUGCAAGGGUAUAAUGUAUUAAUUUUUUUAGCAGUCACAUAUGGGAGGCUUGAGUAAUAUAUACAUCUGUCUGCUUUGUAUGGCAUAUGGAUUUCCCUAUAUUGUGUUUCCCUUUGGGGGAUGACCUGAUUGUUCAGCAGGUUGUUGGAUGCAUGUUAUGUAUAUAUGAUGUAGUGAAACAGAUGAAUAAACACCUGUUUAGUAUAGUGUUACACACUUUUUUGGUGUCAUUAUUUUGUUAUUAUGGUGGAGGAGUUUUCACUAUUAAUAUUCAUUAUUAUUAUUAUUAUUUUUUUGCUAUACUAUGGGACCAUUUGUAUACUCAUAUUAGGCCAUAUUAUAGGUGAUCUAUAUACUAUUUCCCCUUUAAGAUUAGGUCUGCUUGUUAAUACUUUGUGUGUAUUUUUCUAUCUUUUGGUGUGUGCAUGCGCGGGCGGCGCAGGUUUUUUGACGCAAUUUUUUAUUAGUUUUGGAUCACGGAGGCUUCCGUAAGAGAGGAGCUUUGGUGUGUGAUUAGCCGUCCGUGGUAAGGCGAAUGUGCUUUCGUUUUUCUGUUUAUUUAUUGUAUAUAGACCACUUUUGUGCCAAGCUUAUUUACUGGUUUAACAAUUAAGUGAUAAGUUUAUCUUUGUUUAAACCUUGGUUGGAGGAUGUGGAGUGUGCCAAUAGAUGGAUGUAGAGUGUGCCAAUAGAUGGUAUGGCGACCGCUCAUAUUUACAUUGCGCAUGCUCGUUACACUUAUGCUAAUGAGGAUAUUCAUGGAUAUUUGAAUUACACAAUAAUGUGACAUCUUUAUAUAAACGGUAGAACUUGUUUGGGAAUAGCAUUGGGAAUGUAUAGUGUAUGUGUUAUUAUGUUUUACACAUAGGACUAUGAUCUGAAGUGAUGAUGUCACUUCCGGUCUCGGUUCUCUGUGGCAUUACUGAUGGCCAUCAGCUGUAAGUAAUUUGUAUAUGUGUAUAUAAUGGGUUCCUGGAUGAUGUUAUAGCUACCCUUGAUAAAGGCUACCAGGAGGAGCCGAAACGUUGGGGGAUUGUUUGUGACUCGUGUUUCUGCCCAUAUAGGCUUGUGGAAUUUGGUUAAUAUAAUUGUUUAGUUGUUUAGCCUAUUUGGUCACUGUUAUAUUGUUACAUUUUGUAUGUAUGGCUUGUAUUUGCAAUAAAUAUAUAUAGAUAGAUACUAUUGUAUCAGUUGGUGUGCAUUCCUUUCUUUUUGAGUAUUUACUUUAUUGGUAUUGGAGGGAGUACCUUUUUGGAAUAGCACCCUUAAUUGUAGUGGUGAUUAUAUUAAGUGUCUCUCCACACGUUACAUUUUGCAUUCAGUGGGUACAUACCGGGUCGCAGGGGGCCCUGCGACCCCGGUAUGUACCCACAGGGCCAGCCAGAAGGAAGUUGGAGGGGGGAGAAGAAGGAAGUUGGAGGGGGGAGAAGAAGAAGAAGGAUUUGAGGGAGGGGGAGAGGAAGGAAAUUUAGGGGGGGAGGAAGGAAAUUGGAGGGGGGAGAAGGCAAUGAGAGGGAAGGGGAGAAGGACAUUGGAGAGGGAGGGGGAGAAGAAGGAAAUUGGAGAGGGGGAGAAGAAGGAAGUUGGGGGGGAGAAGAAGGUGUUGGGGGAGAAGAAGGAAGUUGGGGGGGGAGAAGAAGGAGAGGAGGGGAGAAGAAGGAAAUUGGAGAGGGAGAAGAAGGAAAUUGGAGAGGGAGAAGAAGGAAAUUGAGAGGAGGAGAGAAGAAGGAAAUUGGAGAGGGGGGAAGAAGAAGGAGUGGAGGGGAGAAGAAGGAAAUUGGAGGGGAGAAGAAGGAAAUUGGAGGGGGGAGAAGGAAAUUGGAGGGGGGGAGGGGAAGAGAUUGACAUACAUCACGCACACACACAAUGCACCCCUUGCACACAGAAAAACAAACAAUGCAUUACACAGAGACACACAUACACAAGCAAUGCAUCCCUUACACACAGCAACACACAAUGCACCCCUUACACACAGCAACACACAAUGCACCCCUUACACACACUCAAUGCAUCCCUUACAGACGCACACACUGCAUCCCAUACAUACACAAACUCACCUUGCAGCCCUUACACAUACAAACACAGAGUCACACAAUGCAUUCCUUACACACAUCAGGACAUCCCCCCCCACACACACUCCACCCCCUGUGAACAAACUCAUUGGUGGAACAUGAAGGUGGAUCCUGGGACCCAGACACAGGGCCGGCCUUAGGGGUGUGCGAGCUGUGCGACCGCACAGGGNNNNNNNNNNNNNNNNNNNNNNNNNNNNNNNNNNNNNNNNNNNNNNNNNNNNNNNNNNNNNNNNNNNNNNNNNNNNNNNNNNNNNNNNNNNNNNNNNNNNAAAGGCCUCAAAAAAUGGAGCUGCUUCCCGUUCUCCCAGAACAUUGAAUUUUGUGACCACAGUUACAAACAGCCUCCAGAGAUCCUGUUCUACACCAGACUAGUGGAGCCAAACUGCAGCCAGAGCUCAUCAUCAUCCUCAUCUGGUUGUAAGUAGGCAAUCUAGUAUAUUAUUAGUGACACUAAUCUCUAAUUUACUUCACAUUAAAGGGACACUAUAGUCCCCAGAACCACUGCAGCUUAAUAAAGUGGUUCUGGUGUCUAUAGCCUGUCCCUGCAGGCUUUUUAAUGUAAACACACACUGUUUGCAGCACUGGUGCUAGUUCAUAUGGCAGAUCAUAUGGUGGGCAUUGUGAUGUCACGGGGGGGGGGGGCGGCAAGUUUUUAUUUUGCCUAGGGCGGCAAAAAUCCUUGCACCGGCCCUGCAGACACUGCAUUCCUGUGGGCGACUCGGGGUGUGGGGGCUGCAGCACUUUGGGCGGACUUGGGUGUAGGCACCGGGGGACCCAGACCUUGAGCUGUGUCAGGGGCCCCACAAUUUCUGAUGGCAGCCCUGCUUGAAGGCAUAGUGUGUGCCAGGGUUGAGACCAUCUUCACUCCAUAGCUUGAGUAAUAUGAGCAUCCCUUGCGGCCUUAGGUAGGAGCAGUUGCGUGACUAUGUGCUUAGCUCUGGCGGCCAUCUUGUCGUGCACCUGGCCAUUAUAUAGCUUUGCGGGUCUGUCUGCCCCUGCAGUCUUGAGCAGGUCGUGCAUAAAGGCUUCAGCCAAGUGUGCUAACCGGGUCAGGAGAUCAUCCAUUUCCCCAGUCGCCGGGCACGCUAGUUCUGCGUCGCUGUUAGGCGAUUUAGCCUCCAUAUAAUGCUUAACUGGCCGGACUGAUAGAGAAACGCCUCCAGCCGUGUUGAGUGCCAGGCCCCGCCCCGGCCUCUUUAUUCAUAUUUGUUUUUUUUUUUAUUCUUUAUUUUUGUUGUGUAAAAAUUAAGUAACAGGCAAGCUGAUUUUGCCACGAUAGCACAGAUCAGCAUAUUAGAGGUUACAUGUCUUGACAUAGACGUGGCAUGCAUGACAAUUACACAUUUUUCGUGAAGGUAUAAGAGGACAAUUCUUUUGGUACAAACAAUGAGAAAUUAUGGUAACGCUAUGUUUAACAACCGUUUUGUUAAUAAAAGAAGAGAAACAUUACACGCUAAGUAUGUGCAUCCAAAUUGCUAUUUGGGCACAUGAGAGAUCGUGUACAUGAUUAUCAUUAGCUCAUCAGGUUUAUAGGGUACAGGCUUUUCUAGUCGUUUGUAACAUUAGUCUGUGCUGAAGUCCAUGCCUAAAUUACAUGCUAAACAAAUUAACAUUAACAUUUCUUUGGUUAGGUCUCUGAAUGUCUAAUUGAGAUGCACUUUUUAAAGGAUCCAAUAAUGCUCAAGAGACACAGGUUAGCCCUGUGUGAUAGAUCUCUAAGAUGAGAAACACAAUUGCUGAAUCCUGGCUAGCAUGAAAUUUUUUUACCGGCGGGUUGCCCGUACGGCUAGUUAGACAAACCGAUGUACAGCAGUGAUUAUGACAUUUCUUGCUGACCAUAAACCAUAAACGUAGAAAAGACACAGAGUAGGUAUAGCAUUAAAGGACCACUAUAGUCACCCAGACCACUUCAGCUUAAUGAAGUGGUCUGGGUGCCAGGUCCAGCUAGGGUUAACCCUUUUUUCUAUAAACAUAGCAGUUUCAGAGAAACGAGUAUGUUUUCCUGGCACUAUAGUGGUCCUUUAAGGUUCAAUAUUCCCACUGUUGGUGUGUGUGGGGAAACGUAGGUGUGAUGAGCGUGUUUAGUGUGGCGUGUGGUUGGCUAUGCAGGUGUUAUGGUUCUGUCUGUGUGCAGGGAGUCAUGCGUUAAUCACGGACAUUGGCGUCCUGUGUGGGCUGCAGUAAGUGGUGUGUGGCUGCGGGGUCAUAGGCAGUGGUGUAUCCUGGUUUUGUGCUGCCCUAGGCAGGACAAAACUCAGGCGCCCCCCUCCCCCCCGCGCCACCCCCACCCAACCCUUCCCCCCGCCCCACCUUCUAGAUACACACACACACAGUCAGACACAAACACACACACACACACAGUCAGACACAUACACAAACACACACACACACAGUCAGACACAAACUCACACACACAGUCAGACACAUACACAAACACACACACACACACAGUCAGACACAUACACAAACACACACACACACACACACAGUCAGACACAUACACAGACACAGUCAGACACAAACACACACACAAACACAGUCACAUACACACACACAGUCACAUACACACACAGUCAGACACAUACACAGACACAAACAGUCAGACACAAACACACACACACACAGUCAGACACAUACACAGACACAAACACACACACUCACAAACACACACACGGUCAGACACAAACACACACACACAGUCAGACACAAACACACAAACACACAGACACACACAGUCAGACAUAAACACACACACACACACACACAAACACACACACACAGUCACACACACAGUCAGACACACACACACACAAACACACACACAUUAACUUUUUUUUUUAAUUUAAAUCCCCCCCAACCUCCUUACCUUUGGGAGUGCUGGGGGGGGUCUCUCUCCCUGGUGGUCCAGUGGCUGCAGGGCGGGCGGCGCUGGCAGGCGGGCGGCCGGCGAGGGAGCACUUCCUGUGAGCUGACUGCUCAGCUCCCUGAGCAGUCAGCUCAUAGGAAGUGCUCCCUCGCCGCCCGCCCGCCUGGGAUGUCAGUUAGCCGCGAGUCUAACAAGGCAUCUGCCCUGGGCAUUUGGGGGGCGGCGUUUUUGCCGCCCCCUGAAAAAUGCCGCCCAAGGCAAAUGCCUUGUUUGCCUUGCGGCUAAUACGUCCCUGGUCAUAGGGGAAAUAGCUUACGUUAGCUGGGUAUCAACCUGGGUACUAAUAAUUACCAAACGGUAAGACAAAGGGCAACAACAGUCCGGUACUCAGUUGUGGAAUAUAGCAUGACCCCCUCAUCCGUCACAGUCCAAGUCUCUGUUAUGCGGAUCUGGAGAGCAUCCGUGAGAGUUGUGAGGGUGGUUGGCAGUGGUAGGAGGUUCGGCAACAGUUAGGGAGCGCCAGUCUCGCAGGGCCAGAGAAUCAGCCAAUGCCACUAAUGGGCCACUUCAUGCAGUCUUUGUUCAGGUCGGCUAUGGAAUGGGCGAAAAAGUAUUUUAUUACUGGAAGUAAAUAUCUCCAAAGAUCUCAUAAUAAUGCAUUUUAAGCAGUUCCCGGAAUCUUUUUCCUUUUUAUUAUAUAGAGAAUCAAAUGUAGAUUUAUCCAGAACCUGAUUAAAGUUUCCAAAGAUCAUUAAUAAACCUUAUCUUAUUUACUUUUUCCCAUAUUUUAUAGAUCUAUUUAAUUGGUCUUUUAUUUGGUUGCAUAAAUAUUAAGAAGGUUAUAUAGUACAUUAUCAAUUUCGGUGACUUAUUAUGGAUCUGCAUUCUUGAUCUAAAUCUAGACAUAUUAUAUCUACGUUUAAAUAUUUAGAAAAAAAGAAACAAUAGCCACCCCUCUCUUUUUCUAUCGGUCAUAGAGGUCCUUAGUAUAAUUGGAAAAUUAUUAAAUGUAAUGGUUGUUCUUCAGUAUGUCUCGUGCAAACCACAUAUAUGAAUAUGUUCCUUCUUCAUUAAAUCAAAAGUCAAAUGGAUUUUGUAUGGUGAGUUAGCCCCCUGUACAUUUACUGUCGCUACUCUAAUGAUAAAAAACAAAACAAACAAAAAAAACAACUUGAAUUAUACCUUCCAUUACUUCAUCUAGACGCCUGGCAAAUACCACAAUGACACAAACAUAAACAAGAAAACAUUAGAACAGAGCUUAAAAACAGAUUGAAUUUUGUCCGGAUACUAACCCCACAUUACCACUAACAAAGCAUUCUGAGUCACCCUUGAAAUCAGAUACCAUCCUCUUGUAAGAUAGUUCAAUAAUACUUAAAUUAUUUAAAAGGUAAUAGAAUAAGGGAGAGAAAAAAAACUCAUUUAAAGUGGUGUAUUGGUUAUAAAAAGCAAUUCUAAACCUCAUUAUUAAAAUCUGUUUCUAAGAAACCACACUACAAAGUGAAACCUGAUAUCAGUACUGCCAACAUCUUUUAUUUAGUUAAUUUUUAUCCAAUUUAAGUCAAAUACAAUCAUUAGUGAUAAACUACUUUAUUAUAUACUUUCUUGUUAAAAUACAUUUCUAAGAAACCACACUACGAAGUGAAACAUGAUAUCAAUUAUACCAACAUCUAUUAAUUCAGCGAACUUCAAUCAAAUCCAAUUAAUGAAAUAUUAUAUUAUUGUGUGUCGUUAUUUGUGAUGAUCUAGUGGUAGAAUUAUGCUAUAUACUUUAAUUAAAAACAAAAGGGAAUCUCACCCCUCUUCCACACGUCAUAUAGUUACUUAGUAAGCAGUCUCUUAUUUACAUUACAUUCUUUAUUUGUCACUGCACAAGUGUACAGACAUGCUUGCAAUGCUACAACAGCAGUUGCAAGCUAUGUAAUAACAUACAAGAGUACACAUCGGUAUGGCAUAGAGAGUUCUAGCACAGAUGUAUUUUUUUUUACAAGUAGAAUAAAGUAACUGCGAGUAACACGCCAAGCCUACUGAUCUGUUACUGUAUUUAGUGUUGCAUAUGCUAAUUCAUUCGCGUGGGUUUUGGGAUCGGCUGUAGAUGCUGUAGAGCUGAUCGAACCAAGCUUCAAAGUGUUCCCGCUAGGUCUGGAUGUCUGAUUCCUCCUUGGUAUGUGGAGGCUGUGGCUUGGCGGCCAUCUUAGGCUCAUUAUGUGGUCUGGGUCUGUAGGUACAGUUAGGUGAUUUUCCCCAGUGGUAACCUUGAUGCCCCCCACUGACCCAGUGGGGGGGCAGUGGGGCAUCAGGAUUGUCGCCAGACAUUGUAUCGACCUUUUCGUGGUUCAGCGACUUUGGCCAUCGUUACUCGCAAUGUAUUCACUGGUCAGAGGGUAUGCAAACGCACAUCUCCACGCUGUGCAGUGUACGUCAUCGUUCCAUACCCCCAUACCUCUGUGUUUGGAUUUUAAGUCUUUAAAGUCUUAUUUUGUUUAUCCUUCAUAACCCAAUGACAAAAAUAACAAAUAUAUCCAAUGUAGAAAAAUAGCCUGGGGUGGCUGCCAUGCUGGGGGGCAGGGCUGGAAUACAGCAGUCCUAGACGGGCCUGAGGGCAUCUUUCCGGCCCUAGGAGUUGACUGACAAGCAGACACAUAUGCAUUAGAGUUGGAGUAGAGGAAUCUUUUCAAGUCUACUUCCAUACACACCCGACAUUAUGAUGUUUAUAUUCUAUGUGGCUCUUUUAGAUGCUCCAGUGGCUAUAUUUUUGUUUGUUUUAUGUGUCUUAUUGUUUUAUUUUAGUCAUCUACGACAGUGUUGAAGCCUAGCCUAGUCCAUGGUUUUGUUUCAAAAUUAUCUAAGCUAUUUAUCAGAUGCUUAGUACAUGCAUCUACUGUAUAUGAUCUUCUAGAGACUACUGUCCAUUUUAUUCUCUUAAUUUAAUUUUAAAAAGACACAUGACUACUCUUUCUGAUUACACAAUGUCCAUCUAGCAUCCAACAAAUGUCAUUCUGAUUGCCACUCUUAUUCUCUAUUUAAAAAAUGUGCAAUUAUUCUUGUAUGCCGUAUACCAAUAUGCUUUAUGAUAUUAAUUGCCUUACUUAUGCUGUUGGAGCAUAAUGAGUCUGCCUGUUCUUUGCAUGCACAUCAAAAAUAAAGAAUUAAAAAAAAAAAAAAAAGCCGGAAAAGAUUUUAAAUGACAAAAUACACAAAAAAACUGUCUUUGAAGCUUUCAAGUCAGGAAAAGCUUUAUUACGAGCUCCCCAUGCUUUGAAUACUUUGUUAGAGCACUGUGAUUGGUUGGCUUCGAAGUUAUGAUAGGCAGAAAAAGAAGAUUUCAAUAUAAAAAUAUUUUUUACUUUGAUUAUUGUUUGUUUUUGCAAUGCCACUUCCAGGGGUUUUUAAUAUUGUUUUUACCUACACCGAUAUUUAACAACAAUUUAUUUGUGAGUUUUGAAAAUCAAAUGUUCUAAAAAAAAGUCAUUGUUAGAAACUCGGACCUGACUGCUCCUGGCCAUGGCUAUGUCUUUUCUGAAAUGUUUUUAUGUAAUUUUCUAAAUCUUUCAUAUAAAUGUAAAGUAAACAGAGCAUCUCAUGAAAACACGUUUGAUAUUUGUGAAGUUACAGUUUUAAUUUAAAAUAGUGUGAGGUGUGAAGUAGGGCAUAUCUUGGUAGGUGUCUAGGGGCAAUGGAAGCUCCCGGAAGCAAUAAUAAUGGUAAUAAUCCAUUAGAACAAGGGUGGCAAAACAGGACCCGUAGAAGGAGCAGCGCACCUUUCACCAAUGGCGUGUCGCCGAGAAGUGGGAUUAGUAGCCAGUGAAGGGGAUGUAAGUAGAGCAUAUCCCUCACUACCGGGAUAAUCGAGAGACACAUGGCGUACGGGGAGUAAGUGAGGUGCACUGUGACAGUGUGUAUUUAUAUAUAUAUAUAUAUAUAUAUAUAUAUAUAUAUAUAUAUAUAAAAGAUAAGUAGCUUGGCACUCUCCUUAUUUGAAAUCCCUUAUAUCCGCCUGGGUGCAAAUGGUGUGCGUUCCAUAUAUAACUGAAGAAUAAUCCAAGAUGCACUCCGGUUUUUUUUUGCACAUGAUUUAAAAUAAAACGGAUUUUUUUGCACAAGUCCUGAGAGUGCAUCUUGGAUUAUUCUUCAGAGAUAUAUAUAUAUAUAUAUAUAGAGAGAGAGAGAGAGAGAUUGUAGCCAUAUUAGUCCAGUGAUUUAGAUUUAAAAAUCAGAUAACAGAAUUGAGGUGUAUCUUUUGGACACAAUAAAGGGGUUAUAUUAAUCUACAAAGAUCUGUGAGUCCACUUUUCUUCCUUAAUAUAUAUGCAUAUGUAAAAAAAAAAAACAGAUACAUUUUGUAUCUUGUAGUACCUUUUUUAUUGGAUAACGACAAGCUUUCAGGAGAACCUCCCUUUCUCAAGCCUAAAGCAUUUCUGAACAACAAAGUAAUGUGGGGGACUGUUCAUCUAAAGUGUUUGUAAUGGGACAAGAAACAACACAAAAACCCAAAUCAAUAUUUAGUCCUCUAUUCUUGUCAUUAAACAAUUUGAUCAUUCCAGCUUCAAAAGCUUCUCUCUUGGGUAUUUUUAAAAACCCCUUUCAGUACUUUGAUUUUUAGGCCCUUCAUUGAGUGGCCAGGCUGAGUAAAAUGGUGUCCCACAGGAUUGCAGAACAAUUGUUAUUUGUGGUGUUUAAUGGAGUAUAUGUUCAUAUUCAUUCUGCCAUUUAAUUGCUGGGUGGUUUCCCCAAUGUAGCAUCCUAGGUGGCAUUUGUUGCAUUGAAUCAUGUAUACCACAUUGCUGGAUGUGCAGGAGUAUGAUCCUUUAGUGCUGUAGGUUUUAUUGUUGUGUGUGGCUGUGUUGUCUGUGCAUAUGUGCUGACACAGUUUGCAGCAAGGUUUUUUGCAUUGACUGGUCCGGUUUUCUUUUUUCUUCCCAUCAGUGGGUAGCUUCCUGUUGGUUAAAUUUUGUUGGAGGUUUGGUGGUUGUCUGAAGACCAAAAUGGGUGUUUUCAGAGAAAAUAUUUUUCAGAGUCUCAUCUUCUGUUAACGUUGGUUGUAGGUCUUUAAUGAUUUUCUGUAUUUCCUCGAGAGCUGGGUUGUAGGUGACCACAAGUGGCACUUGUGUAGAUAUUUUUUUCUCUCUGUACUUUAGCAGGCGAGUGCAUGGCGUUUUUACAGCAGAGUUGAUUUGUUUGGUAAUAGUCUUUGGUUUGUAGCCUGUCUCAUAGAUUGGGAGAGUAUAUUUAGAUGGAAAUUACGGUGAUUAGGAUCAGAGCAUAUGCGAUGGUACCUAGUGGCUUGGCUGUAGAUGAUGCCCUGUUUAGUAUGGGAGGGGUGGAAGCUGGAGCUGUGAAGGUAACUUCACCCGUCUGUGGGUUUUCUGUAAACCGAGGUGUGGAUUGUGCCGUUGUUACAUGUCAUAGUGGUGUCCAGAAAAUUCACAGAUCUAGUGGAAUAUUCAAUUUUUAGUUUGAUUGAUGGAUGGAAUGUGUUAAAACAGUCAUGGAACUGCAUCAGUUUUUCUUCGCUUCUAGUCCAAAUUAUGAAGAUAUCGAUAUAGCGAUAAUAUUUGUAUGGUUUGGUGUGCUGUAUAUCUAGGAAUCGCUGUUCAAGAUCUGCAUAUUGCCAUCUUAGUGCCCAUGGUUUGUAAGUAAUCCUCAUUGUUAAAACAGAAAUUAUUAUGUGAGGAUGAUUAGUGCCAGUUCUGUGAUAAUUCGGGGGCUGUAUUUUUGGUUGUCGGCAGAGAGGAAAUGGAAGCUAGCAUUGAUGUCAUCUGUAUGUGGAAUGCUGCUGUAGAGAGAUUCCAUGGUUACAAGGAUGGUGUUAGCAGGGAGAUUGGUGAUUUGGCUGAGUUCGUUGAGGAAGUCAGUUGUGUCUUAUGAAUGUUGGAUGUACAGGUUGUGUGAAUGUUGGUGACUAGAGGUUUUAGGGUAUUUUCUACCAGUCCUGAGAUCUGUUCUGUGAGCGUUUCCAUUCCUGCAAUUAUGGGUCUUCCAGGAUUACCUGCUUUGUGGGUUUUGGGAAUCAUACAGAAAGUGCCCAUAUAGGGACUAGUUGGUAUGAGUGAUUGCAGUUCUAGAUGCAAAUUCUCAGUUAGGAUUUAAUGAGCUCCCUAAGUUGUAAUGUAUAUUCCUUGGUGGGGUCUUCAUUUAGUUUUCUAUAGUAUUUGUCACCUGACAAUUGCCUGUUCCCCUCUUUUAUAUAGUCCCGGAUGUUCAUUAUCACUACUGCUCCUUCCUUAUCUGGUUUGAUGGUGAUAGCAUGAUUAUUUUUCAAGUCAUUUAUAGCCGUUUGUUCCUGUACUGAGAGAUUAUGAAACAUUUGCUUUUGGUUUUGCUUGGUUGUCAAGGAUACUGAUCUUAGAUGGAAGCUUUCAAUGUACCUGUCCAGUUUGGCAUUUUGUCCUGGUGCUGGAGUGAAAUUAGUGUUAUUUCUCCUGUUGUUGUAAUCCAUUGUGGUUUGAGUGCUCUCUUUGUCAUGGAAGUGUUCCUUAAAUUGCAUCCUUCUGAAAAAUUCUUCCACGUCAGAGUAGAGCCCAAUGUCUUGUGCUAGGGCAAAAUGAUAAUCCCUUGGCGAGAACUGAUGCUUCUGAGUCAGAUAGUUUAUAAUCCGAAAUGUAAACAAUACCAGAUUUCUCUUGCCAUUUCUUUCUCUGCCAAAUAUUUGUAAUAGUCCUGCUGGAGUCUGAUGAGUUUAUUAUUUUUCUUCUUAAAAAGGACCUGUUGCUUUUUGUAAAAAUUGUGUAUAUCAUGUUCUAGUUGUUCAGCAAUAUAUAUAUAUAUUAUCCUCGUGUAGAUUUUGGAGUAGAUAUUGUUUUUUAUGAAACAAUCAUGUUCUAGUUGUUCAGCUUUAUAUAUAUUAUUAUAUAGUGUGUUUACACAGGUUUUCAGCAUACUGUAAUUUGUGCAUAGUAGCAAGUGGAUUUUUGAUUCUUAGGCCUUUGCUCUUGAGGAAAUACAGAGAAAUUAAUUAAAGACCUACAACCAAUGUUAACAUCCGCUUUGGCCUUCAGACAACCACCAAGCCUCCAACAAAAAAUUAAUCAACAGGCAGCUACCCACUGAUGGCAAGAAUAAAGAAAACAGGACUAGUCAAUGCAAAAAAACCUUGCUGCAAACUGUCAGCACAUUUGCACAGAGAAAACAGUCACACACAAAAAUAAAACCUCCUGCACAUCCAGCAAUGUGCCACCUAGGAUGCUACAUUGGGGAAACCAUGCAGCAAUUAAAUGCCAGAAUGAGAGAGUGGAUGACCAGAGUAGAAGACAUCAGAUGAAUAGAGGAGCUUAUCCUCUCGGCGACGGGACGCAUACAACGCUACCACGACACCUGGUACCACUGGCUACGAUGGCUCGCCUCUACCACAGCGCCAGGAGGAGACCAACAACCCUCAGGAACAGAGGAGGGGCUCUUCACCCGGGCCGGAACUGGAGGAGCUGCGACGGGACCUGGGCUGGACCCUACCUAACCCUCCCUUAGCUCCCUAUACCUCACCCGCUUACCCUGGAACCACCCACAUCUUCUUGCCCCUACCCUUCAUUACUAUCCCCUCGCAUCCUCCUAGGUGACUCUGCCCACUUACAACCCACCAGGGACGUACCAACACAGAGAUGAACAACAACGACACAAGACAAACAGCACCCCCUCUUCCCUCUGGACACAGAAUGAACGCCACACACCAUAACCCCAUGAAUCUCAAUGAGACAUGACCACGACACACGACAGAGACACACACGAGACAGCUCACCAGAGGCAACCCUCCCACUACUGGACUCAUACGCCGUGAACCAGGGCGUAUCCCUACCAAGUAAGAUACCCACAUGAAUAGCUUUUCAACUGAGAAAACCUAAUUUAACAAGCAACGUGAGACGUGACACUUGCCAGGUAUACAUAAUCCACUCCCAAAAUAAAAACCGAAUUGUAUACCCCGUUGGAACACAUAACACUGUAAUCCACCGCAAAUAGGCUCACACCCUACUACAAAUAUUGAAUGAUCUGAAACACGCAAAUGUUAUUACAACUAUGUUCAUUGUAUAAACAUGGUGCAACCUUCACCUGCCAUAACGCUGUGAUCAACUCGUUGAGUAGUCAAACUCCGCUUAAAUGGCAUACCUGCAUACAUGCUCCUUAAGCCUAAACCAUCACAUGCUCUGUAAACUAACUGAUACCAUGUUAUAAUAUGUUACUCAUGCACUCUACAUUUACUGUAACCUUCUUCAUACUGUCUUGUUAUGCCAAUUUAAAACAAAAUAAACAUUUUUUGAAUGAAAAAAAAUAAAUAAAUGCCAGAAUGAAUAUGCACAGAUACUCCAUUAAAUACCACAAAGCAGAAUCGUACUGCACUCCCGUGGGACACGACUUUACCCAGCCUGGCCACUCAGUGAAGGACCUUAACAUCAAAGUACUGAAAGGGUGUAUUAAAUACACAAGAAACACAAAGGUUUGAAGCCAGAAUGAUCAAAUUGUUUAACAGCAAGAAUAGAGGACUAAAUAUUGAUUUGGGUUUCCUGUCCCACUACCAACACUUUACAUAAACACUCCCCCGUUAUCUUACUUUUCUGUCAUAUGUAUCAACAUUUUAAAAUACACCACAAUAUGUUUAUUCUAUCAAUAUACGUGUGUGUAUAUGUGUAUGCUUAAAUAUGUGACUGUGCAUUUAGAUUUGUGUAUAUGAGUUCAUGUGCAUGUAUGUAUAUGUGUUUAUGUGUUUUGCAUAUACAAAUAUACACAUGUGUAUGUAUGUAUAAAGUGUACCAUCUUCUGCACUGUGCUUCUUUUUUGGGAGGCUCUCCCAAAAGCUUGUCAUUAAAAAAAUCUGUUAGCCCAAUAAAAAAAGGUAUUACAUGAUACAAAUUUUCUGUUUUUUUGUCUUUUUUGUUAUAUUUUGUUGAUAUUUUACAGGCAUUCAACAACACAGGAUAACCUAUGGCCAAAACUACCAUAACUUCAUGCUAUCAUACCAGACAAGAAUAUACUCAAAGGUUUUCAGGAAUCCAUUCCCCCACAUUCCUCUCAGAGAUUACCAAUAGCCAUCCAACUUUUCCAUCCUAAUCAGAUCUAUUAGAACUACAACCAUUCAAUUAUACUACCAAGUCGGCCAUUACCAGCCAUGCACACUGCCUUUUAUUCCUUUUUCAGGCCAGAGAAUACACUACCAUAACCACCACUCAGACAGAUCAUUGUCUUCAACGAUCCCACGUAUGUAAACACAUAUAUCAUUACCUAUUGGCUCUACCACAUUCCGAAACGAGUCAACACGCACCAACAGUAGAGAUAACAUACUAUCCUACCCACAACAAAUGGUGUCCAGUUGCAGUCCUAGAUUCCUACCUUCAAAAUCCUUCCAGGAAUUAAAUACCGUAAUGCAUUUAAGGAAAUGUCUGGUUAAUUUGUAUAUAUUGUUGACUGUAUUAAAUCUUUGAUUAUUCUUUUUUGCCCUCUUUAUUUACAGGCCUACCGUAUCGUUGGUCUUGGCACACCACAACCGACUUGCUCCCUUUAUACUAUCCUACGCUUAUGCUGGAACCUUACUCCAUAUAUGGCUAUUUGCCCCUUACACAAAUAUAUUAUAGAAGAAAAGUGCACUCACAGAUCUUUGUAGAUUAAUAUAACCCCUUUAUUGUGUCAAAAAGAUACACCUCAAUUCUGUUGAUGUUUCAGUCCAACACAGGACUUUUUUUCAAGGUGUGAAUGCCCAAAUGAUCGUUUAAAUAGGAGAAAUACAUGUAAAGUAGCAGGGAUUUGUUAUGUAAAACAAUGUUGUGGUGUGUCAAAUGUCGUGAAUGAAUAAUACCCACAUUCACUCAUCAUAAAGCGAAUCUCUGGUGUUAUCCAUAUAAACUAUUCUGUAUUUGAAGAGAGAAAAUUAAAUAACAUAAUAUAUAAGUAAUAUGAGAGAUAUCUAAAAGUAAAUGUCAAAAAUUGUGCAGAGCUGGAGAUCGUGGGGCAUGUCACAUAAACAACUACUAUAUCCACAAAGUGUAAAAUAAGCCUAAAUUAUCUCAAUAUAGAAAGAACAUCAAAGUAUGUACAAAAUAUUUACACUGUUGCCAGACAUGUGUUGUAACAAAUCAACAGAAGAUACAAUAUGAGUAAUGCAACAGGCAUAACAAGCAUAGUCCAUCACAAUACUGCUAACUUGGAAUGUGUCGGUUUGUCUCCUAAGGGCACAUCAAAGUCCUAUAUAGAUGCCGCUGCAAAGUGCAAAAUAAAUCUAUAAUAAAGCAAAAUACGGGGUAAGCAAGGUGUGUGACCAAUAGGUCUCUGUGAUCAUUGCUGCAGCAAAGUUUGCAUAAAAAUUGGUCUACUGAAAUGUUGCGGCACCUAAAUUUCCCAGCUACAAGAAAGGAAAAAAUGUUUUUUUAAAAAUAGAUUAGGGUGGAGUAUUUAUGGUUGGAGUACUAUUAUAGGAUUAAAGAGAGAUGGGUUAGCAUUAAGGUAAUUUAAGGUUAAGGAGGCUUAGAUUUAGAACUGCAGUUUUUCUAGCCUGUAACAGGGAAAUUGGCUCAAAUCAUUGUGGGGAAUUUGGUUUCAGUAAAUAAGUUUGUGAAUAGCUGCUUUGACAAUCUUAUAUAAAUGAUCAUCUUACUUUAGCCAAAUCAUCAGUGUAAAUUUAUUUUAAAAUAUAAAAAUUUACCAUUUGUGAAUAUCAUGAUGAAAUAAAUUUCAUUAAGACCGCUCUAGUUUUAUAAUCAAAUUGUGCUUUGCUGCUCUUUUUUAUUAAGGGGAAAAGUAAAUAAAUAGCAGUUCAUUUUAAUUGAGGGAAAGCACUUUUGAUGAUUUGCCUUGAUAACGUUUUAAACAAAAACGCUAGACAUAUUUGUGUCUGAUGUACUCAGUUUGUUGACAAUGCAUUUUAAGUCCCUAGAAAGUAAAUAAAGUUAUAAAGAUUUUUUUUCAGAUUGACUGAUUUAUGCAACAGGUUUGUGACCAAGGCCUUUUUUUGGUGCUUUAAGAAUAUAGAUACAGUGUCCCAAAUCAGAUGCUCAUACUGUCGCUAUGUAUUGCCUCCAUUUAAAAAUAUUCCAUUAUUUUUGCUGCAAAAAGUGUAUUGACAAAUAGAUUCACACAGAAUUAUGAAGGACACCAUGCACUGAAAUCAACGCGUUUCGUAUAAACAAACAUACUUCCUCAAGAUCAAAGGUUGUUACAUUGUGGCAAGGUUUUAUGGGAAAAUGGCUAAUUGCCAAAAAAGAAAAAGCUAUAAACCAGCCCAAUUAUACAAUUAUUGUAUCAACUGUGAACUAAGACUAACCACUUAACCCUCACAUUGUGUUAAACAGGACAACAUUGCUGAAUCAAGUAAAGUACACAUCAACAUAUUUAAUAAUUUUGCAGACCAAAUACAUAUGUUUAAUUCAUCAAAACAUAGCCAUUAAAUAAACCAAUGAAACAAAGAUUUUUUUUUAAUCUAAUGAGAAAAUAGACAACAAUGAAACAUAACAACAUUUAAAAAAAAAAACACAACUAUCCAAAUUUACUAACCCAGCAAAGAGUUGACUAACCCAUCUUAUUUAUGUUGAGCAUACAUACAUACAUCACCCAAGGCUUUUAUAGUCAACUAAAUAUCAUACCUUUGUAAAUUUCUCAUAAAGACAUGUUAAAGAACUUUAUGCUUCACAAUCACAAUUAUAAAAUAAGUCAUUAGUAUUUUUAGUAUUAGUAUGCAAAUCAGUUCAAAACUCUUUUGACAUGUGUUUUUCUGGAUUUAUUUUUGUUAUUCCUCAGUUGCUACAAAAACAAACUAACUGGAACAGUUGUUUAUCAAAUGUGUCGGGUGAUAACUGUCAGUCCAUAAAAUUGUACUGGCAUCAGUACUUUUCCUAUGUGUAUAGGACUAAAUAUUACCUACAAUAUUACAUGAAAAUAACUGAUAACGUUUGGUUUAUUCUCCAUAGUGAACUUAAAAUUUACGGUAUUGUUAUUAGCAUAUUUAAAACAUUUUUGGUAUGUUUGACUCAGGGCCACAGACACGAAAAGCAAAUCAUUAAAGGAGCACUAUAGGGUUAGGAACAUAAAGAUAUUUCUGACCCUAUAGUGUUCAAACCACCAUCUAGCCCCCCUGGCCCUCUCUUGCCUCCCUAAAUAUAGUAAAAGCUUACUUGUAUUCAAGCCUGAAGCUGCUGGCUCUGCCCCUGUCUGCAUCAGAAUAGCAAGCUGUCUGCUGACAUCAUCAGAAGUGUUGUUCUGAGCUAAUCACAGGGGCAGAGCCAGCACAAGUCAAACACAGCCUUGGCCAAUCAGCAUCUCCUCAGAGAUGCAUUGAAUCAAUGUAUCUCUAUAAGGAAAGUUCAGUGCCUGCAUACAGAGGGAGGGCAUACUGAUAUGUUGUAAUGCAUACAAUGCAAGACUGAGAUGGAAAGCAGCUCUAGCAGCCAUCUGAGGAGUGGCCAGUGUUAUCACUGGGCUGUAAUGUAAACACUGGAGCACAGGGCCCUAGAUGGGACAUAGAUGGAAUCAAUGUUUUUGAGAUGGAAGCAGUAGGAUUUGGCGAUUGAUUGGACAUGAGGGGUGAAGGAGAGGUCAGAGUCAAAGAGAACACCUAGGUAGCAAGCCUGCGAGGUAGAGCGGGUGGUAGCGCUAUUGACUUGGAGGGAAACAGGCAAGGGAGUAGCAACACUUGAGAGAGGGAAGACCGGUUAAGUUUAAGGUAAUGAGCAGCCAUCCAGUUAGAAAUAGCAGAGGGGCAAUCAGAGACAUGACUCAAGAGGGGUGGUGAGAAAUCAGGGAUAGAUAGAUUUGCAUGUCAUCCCCAUAGAAAUGAUACUGGAAGCCAAAAGAGCUGAUGGGUUUACCAAGGGAGGUAGUAUAGAUGGAGAACAAUAGGGAACCAAGGACAGAUGCUUUGGGAACACUAACAGAGAGGGAUUGGGGAGAAGAGGCAGAGCCAAAGAAAGAAACACUGACGAGAGGUAGGAAGAGCACCAGGAGAAAGCGAUAUCUCAUAGACUGAGAUACCGGAAGAUGAGAAGAAGCUGCUGCUGAUCAACAGUAUAAAAAGCAGCAGAAAGGUCGAGGAGAAUUAGGAUAGAGUAGUGGCCACAGGAUUUUGCAGUGACAAGAUCCUUGGAUACUUUGGUCACAGCUGUUUCAACAGAGUGGCGAACACGGAAUCCAGAUUGAAGCUAGUCAAUCUGAGAGUUGGAUUCGAGGAAGUCUGUCAAUCUCACAUACACAACUCCGUAAAGGAUGUUGGUGGAAAAUGGGAAAUAGGGCGGUAGCUGGACGGGGGAUUAGGAUCAAGGUUGGGCUUUUUCAGAAUCCAGGUUAUGGUUGCAUGUUUGAAGGGUAGAAGAAAUGUGCCAGAGGAGAGGUAGAGAUUGAAAAUUUUAGUGAGAGGCAGAGCAAGAGAAGGAGACAAAGUGCGGAUGAGAUAUGAGGGAAUAGGAUUGAGGGAACAUUUGUUAUUUCCCCACACUUAAAUAUUAUUUAAGGAGGAGAUUAAAUAUAGUUUCAGGCACUAUGAAUUGGCAAGAAGUGACUUUUGUAAAUAUGCAUUUUUCUGCAGGCAAUCCAGUGCUCCAAUACACAAUUCAGUACAUGAUUCCAGUGCUACAGUACUGUUUUACAAGUGUCACUUAUUCAAUCUAGUUUUUUAAUUGGAGACUGCAGAUGUUACUUGAUCCAGACAUUGAAUCUUUUACUCCUGUCAGGGCAUAUAAGGCAGUAUGGAAACAAAGCAGGACUUUAAGCAAUUAGAUAAAUAUGUUUGGCGAAUCAUAAAUAUUUGUUUUAUUCUCACGUCUAUUGCUUUUUUUUUUUUUUGCCAACUAUUCUUUGCUCCCUAUGAUUUAAUUAUUCUUUUGCUCCCUGCGAUUAUGUGGACUGAUCACAUUUAUCAAAUAUACAGAGUUAUUGAUUGCUUAAGUCACUUGUGCUGGGGAUGUAACUAGCCCUAGCACAAUAAUAAAACUAACUUUCAAUGUGCAGUGUUUCAAGCAGAAACACUGCGCAUCCAGACUCCUACGACCAUAAUCAAUUAAAUCAAGUGAAGUGGUCAUGGUGGUUGGAGCAACGCUUUAAUGAGAAGUAUUUGUCUGCCUCUUAAGUUUAGCCCCACUGAGCCAAACAACUAGAAAGUAACAGGACUGGUUGUCUGAUUGACAGCUAAAAUGGUGUAACAAGGUUAAUUUUAUAAAAGUGCCAAUUUCUGUUGAAAUCUGCCCUUCUUGUAAAAUGAAAUAAAGAGGACACACUAUUCACUUAUAAAGCACUUAAGCAAGAUAAAGUGCUUUAUGUGUGUCAAGUGGAACUUUAACAUGCCUUAAAUCUUCACCCCCAUCUACUAAACCCCAGUCUGGCAAGGGUAUUUAAACCAGGGGAUUGUUAACAAAGGUGUUACUUCAUUGAUGUAUAUAUACUAGGGUCAUUGGUGAACGUUCAUACAUUGGGAAGUGACUGCAACUCAUGAAAUGGCUAGGAACUAAAAGAUCACUGCUACAUUGUCAAAAUUUACAGACUUUCAGCUGUUUGUAAUGAACAAAUCAAACAAAAGCAAUUGAAAUAGCUCAAAAAAAUGAAUGUUUCAAGUGGUUUCCCUAAAUUGAACUGAUUAUGCAACUUCUAAUGACUUCUCCAGGGGAAAUUAUUCAAACCCUGCAUAGAAACCCUCACAACAGAAAAAAUAUGCAAUACUAUUGUUGUCUUAAGCACACAAAAUGCAACUAAUCAAGGGCUUCAUUAGAUGCACUAGGUGUGCUUGAGCUGGAACACUUGAAAUAUCUGAAUUGGCUAAGGGUUUGUUAAGUGUCACAUUUGACUGCAUGUUAGAAAUAAGAAUGGUCCAAAGAAUGGUCCACAAAGUUAUGAGAAGAGAUCAGUGUAGCGGAUGGCCAUGAGCUGCCCUGGGACUUACAUUAUGUUUAAACUGUAUUCGUCUAUUUGCUAAAUGUCUAUGCAGUAAGGGAAUGUAUUUGUGUAAAAUAGCUAAGUUCUAUGUGUAAAAUGUAUUGGAUUCGUCUGAAUGUAAGGUAGUUUCAUUCCCUUAGUUUGUUCGAAUGAAACUACCGAACAGUCAGACCUCCCUGUGUGAUGUGUGCCUUCAAUUACCUGUUGCAACAUUGUUGCGAACAGGUAAUUGACAAGCUGUGUAGCAAUCCUUUGUUCCCAGGGGUGGCCGCCAUUCGAGAAACGAACACGUGGCAGUGGCCAUCUUAAUUUCCCGAACAGCGGUGUUUUGCCGUCGAGUGUCUGGAACAAAAAAUGGACACUCGAUUAGGCGAACACCGCUGAGACCUCCAUCAGCCCGGUCCGUUCGGUUCCAAACUACCGAACGGCCCCUCGUUCGGUAGGCAUAAUCAACCGAACGAGGGGAUUCAGGCGAACCCUCCCAAGCCUCUAUAGCUGGAGGCUUUCAGGUACUGCAUUCGCCUUUUCCAGGACCGACCGCAGGGCCCCAUCGCAUGGAGCCCACUUCGGCUAGUUCAUCCAGCAUAGUCGGUCAUUUUAUUCCCUCCAGGAAAUUCCCGAACCCCUGGUCUGAUCUGGGUGAUUUUUGGAUAUGUUGUUCACCCAGUUCAGGGCUACCAGGGGAUGUAUAAUUUAAAGGGGUACCCCUAGGUUUAGGGGUACUUCCAGAAACGGGGGGAAUUGCUGUACUGGAUAAGGGGAUUAUGAUGCAGGCUGAGGGGAGGAGAUGUGUGGGAGGUUACCGGGACAGGAUUGGCUACUGUAUUAAUGAAUGGAAAUCCCUCCCUUGCAUGGGAGCAUGCUAUAUAAGGCACUGUGGUAUAAAGGUUGUCAGUUCUGCUCCUGAAACUGUGUGUCGUCCAGUUAUUGGGAUUGCUGUUGGGAUACUGCUGUGUUAUUUUGCCUGCUGGAAACCUUGCCUGUGGAUUUACAAUUUACUUGUUCCUGAGCCUCACUGGGAUCUUAAGUGGAGAUAGCCUGGGGAAUAUUGUAUCUCCGCUACAAUCAUCACCCUUCACAAACAAGGAACAGGAUAGAAAAAGAUAGCAAAUGGGGGGCAUAACUAGCUACGGGCCAAAGCAGAUGCGUAGAAUUAGAGCUCCUGGGAAAUUUCGAUUUUACCCUUUAAUUUCAGAAUAGAAGGGCAGGAAACUGAGCAAUACCUAUCUCAUGACCACCAUGGUAAGAAACAGCAAGUCUUUCAGGAGCAAAUCAGCUCCUGUGUAAAAAAAAAAAAAAUAGAGGGGAAUUACUGAGAGUAAAACCGCAGCAGAGACCUGUCAACAUGGCCCUUGCACAGAAGAAAGCGACACUGAGAUUUCUGGCAGUACCAAAAGGUUCAAGAAAGGCCAAAAGGCCCAACUCGGACCUAGACGGACAAACCCUUAAGGGACUGACAUACAAGAAGUCCACUGCCAAUACAGUACGAAACCAAUCAGAUGUAUUAACGAACACCUAAGGCACACCACUGUAAGAACCACUAUGAGUGUUACACAGACGACCACAAUGACGGUGAAACUGCCGGGAGGAAUUUAGGACCGCACUAGGUUAAUGGUUUCAUAUGAUACAUAAACGUAAAACGCAUUGUACGGAAUUAAUUUUUGUUCAUGUUUGACAUUGGGACCGGAAAGGCCCUACAAAUUGGAAAACAACACCAAGAAGCACACUACAACCAGUAUACCUGAUAUACCUUUAAAUCUUCUCUGUACAAUGAAUUGCAUUAUAUGUUGAUGACAGGCCCCUGUGCGGGCCACUUCAUGUUAUUAAGUGGCACGUGGUGUUGAAGCAAAAAUAAAGAAUUAAAAAAAAAAAGAAAGGCCAAAAGGACCCUAUUCAGGCUCUGGAAUUUAUACUGGCAAUCAAGACUGAUAUAGAGAAUCUCCUGCGGGAAUUCAAGGCCCUCUUUGCUGCAGAUUUCAAGCUAGUCUGGCAGAACAUUUGCCAUAUGUAGGCCCGCGUGCAGGCAGUGGAAGAUGUGAGCAGCACUGCACAGACCAAGCAGAGCAAGUCAACAUGGUCCAUGAGAGCAAGAUGGCAGCUCUGGUGGACUCCAGGUGCCAACGUAACCUCAGAAUCACAGAUCUUCCUGAGGAGUUGGAUGAGAACAAAUUACAAUCCAUAUUUUCGAAUUAUUUGGGCAUUAAAUUGGCUCUGAACCAGUUCUUUCUGCUGUACGACGUUAUUUCUAAUGGUAUGGGCUCAUAGCAGCUCCCACAAGUAACAUGAACAGUCCAUAUGAUUAUAUUCAAGAUUAAUAUAAUACUGUGGUUUGUAUGCCUUUUACAAACUCUACCAAAAAGUACCCCACACACUCCUUUUUAUCAUUUCCUGAAACACUGAGUGGUUUACUUAGGAAACAGUGGAUUGUGAUGAAUUCAAACCCAAAUUUCAAAACUGGGCUAAAUAGUCAAUUUGUGGGGGAAAAUAAUGUUUUUCAGCUCAAAUACUUUUGCCUGAUUUUCAUGAUUCCAUUGUCAAUUUAUCAAAAUGUGUUUCUUAAUGAAUAAACCCACGUUUUUCUAAAUUAAUUUUGCACAGAUGUGAACAUAUCACAUUUCACUAAGAUUUCCAGAUAUAUCGAGUUGACUCAUAUCUAUAAAUAUUACCAAGCCAAAUAUAUAUCUCAGCUAGUCUGGCAAUACUCCUGAUAAAUUGAGAAUAGAAUGUAUUUGGUGUGGUUGAAUUUACCUUUGUGGACAGAGAGAGCUACAAAUAGAACUUCUGUACCUCAAGUCACUUAUUUCACUGAAGCCAAAACUGCCAGACCUCUCCAUAGCUACCAUUUUUAAUAAGCCAUCAUUCUAGAAUCAAUUCAUUUUUUACCAGUUCUUUCAUUGCCUUGUGAUGAAUAUAUUGUCUUUAACGUUCAGAAUACAGCUAUAUAACUUGAAAUAUAUGCCAUUUGCUAUACUGGAAGACAUAGAUCAGAUAUAUUAAUAUGAGAUAUAUUUGUAUUAUGCACAUAUUUGUCCAUUCUAGUUGUGGUUCAAUCACCAACUAUACAGGUGUGUUAUUUCACUGAUUCACCUUUAUAUAUCAGACCACUUAUUAGAGGCUUCUGUCCUAGGGCUUGGUUGUGCUCCUCGGUAGAUAUUAUUUGGCCUUACCUGCACCUUUUAUUGUCUAUGUGGUGACUAUUACAUGUUUCCUUUAAUUCUUAUAAAUGUCUUAAUGGAACACUAUAGUCACCUAAAUUACUUUAGCUAAAUAAAGCAGUUUUAGUGUAUAGAUCAUUCCCCUGCAAUUUCACUGCUUAAUUCACUGUCAUUUAGGAGUUAAAUCACUUUGUUUCUGUUCAUGCAGCCCUAGCCACACCUCCCCUGGCUAUGAUUGAUAGAGCCUGCAUGAAAAAAAAACAGGUUUCACUUUCAAACAGAUGUAAUUUACCUUAAAUAAUUGUAUCUCAAUCUCUAAAUUGAACUUUAAUCACAUACAGGAGGCUCUUGCAGGGUCUAGCAAGCUUUUUAACAUAGCAGGGGAUAAGAAAAUCGUAAUUAAACAGAACUUGCAAUAAAGAAAGCCUAAAUAGGGCUCUCUUUACAGGAAGUGUUUAUGGAAAGCUGUGCAAGUCACAUGCAGGGAGGUGUGACUAGGGUUCAUAAACAAAGGGAUUUAACUCCUAAAUGGCAGAGGAUUGAGCAGUGAGGCUGCAGGGGCAUGUUAUAUACACCAAUACUGCUUCAUUAAGCUAAAGUUGUUCAGGUGACUAUAGUGUCCCUUUAACCCCUUAAGGACACAUGACAUGUGUGACAUGUCAUGAUUCCCUUUUAUUCCAGAAGUUUGGUCCUUAAGGGGUUAAACUUUACAAAAAAAAGUUACUAAAAAAUCUGUUGCUUGUACAUAUUCAUAUCCCAACCAAGUUUCACCUUCUUUUGGAUCCACUCCCUUUCAAAUAUGCCUGCAUCCAAUUAUUUUGAAGACAUAGUGUCCUAAUAUUGAAAUCAUAAAACUUUUAAAACUCAUGGGGCAAAAUGUACUUUAACCCCUUAAGGACACAUGACAUAUGUGACAUGUCAUGAUUCCCUUUUAUUCCAGAAGUUUGGUCUUUAAGGGGUUAAAUAUGAAUAAACAUUUCAGAGAUAUUCUGCAGAACUAAGGUUUGGAAUGGUUACAAAAAAAAAGGCAAAACAAGUUAUUUAUUAUUAUAACAAUAAAAGCAAUAGCAGUAUACAAGAUAGGGCUAAUGCAGAUAAUAUAAGAUACAGUUUAUUUAAGAAAGCUAAACAUGGGUUGCAUAUUUCCUUAAUCUAAAGUACUAUUUUGCAAUAAAGCCUCAACAGCUGCAUUCAGUUUUACUCACUUGCAAUUUGGCAGUAGAUCCGGGAAUAAGAAAAUGUUACUGUAGCAACAAAAUUAUUUUAAAGAAAAAAAAUAUAGUAUUAAAGGAUUAAUAUUCUACUCCAUGUCUUUAUAUUGUUCAGGAGGUUGAUGGCAUAAAUGAGGGGCUCAAAAACCUAGCUGUUAUGUUCCAAUUAAAUACAUAAGAGAUUUGGAGCCUCUUAGGAUCUAAUUAGUAAUUCACAUCCUUAAUGUCUUUUUAAAAUACUAUUAUUAUUAUUAUUAUUAUAUGAAAUUGUUCGUUGAUUGUUUUGCCCAUUAUGCCUCAAUACCAUACAUCCCCCUCAAAAAAAUGUAUAUAGCGUGUAGGGAUGACACAAUGGAUGUCCUGCUUCCUCGACACCCACAAUAUUCAAGAGAGAACGCUUAGCGUAGGGGUAGGCAACAUUCAGCACUCCAGAUGUUGUGGACUACAUCUGCCAUAAUGUUCGCAAAGCCAUAAUGCUGACAUAGCAUCAGGGAUGAUGUAGUCCACAACAUCUGGAGUGCCGAAGGUUGCCUACCCCUACUUGCUGCUUUACCCAUCAUCCCUGGGACUUGUGCAAUGAUCCCUAUGAGGAAGGCUGGAUGCCGAAACAUUGGGGUGUUUGUGAGUCUCUAGCUCUGGGUAAGUAUACCCUAAGCAUUUAUAUAUUGUGGAUUAGCAGUGAGCACUUUAGUGCCUGGGUACAUGUGGUUAUUUGCAUGAUUUAUUUCCUAUAUAUAUGCACUUUAUAUUUGUAGGUGUAUUUUAUCUUGUUUGUUGAAUUAAAAAAUAUUUUCUUUGCAACAUUAUAAGGUGUACCUUUUUUGCUGCAUUUUUUCACUAGGGUAUAUUUAAAAAUAGCUGCUAUACUCAGCAUUUACAAGUCCUCCACUUUUCCCCAGCCCAGACUUUCUGUGCCUGUCCAAUCACAGACAUCCCAAUAGAGCUCAAUGAGAAGUCUUUGCAAGGCAGGUGCUCUGAGCAAUUGCUGCCUCCUGAGUUUAGCUCUGCCCAGCUAACCAAACCAGGAAGUAACAGGACCUGUCUGACAGUCAGUGUGUGUAACUAGGUUUAUUUAUAAAAGUGUACAUUUCUAUUGAAAUCUGCACUUGUUUGUAAAAUUGAAAAGAAGAGGACACAUUCUUCACACAUAAAGCACUGCAACAAGCUAAAGUGCUUUAGUUAUUUUGAGUACUCCUUUAAUGCUUUCAGGCCAUACAAAUCCAAACAAAGACAUCAGUGUGAAUUUUCCAGGGACAUAAACCCGAUUUUUUUUUUUAACAAUUCAACAGAAUAAUUGAAUUUGACGUUGUCUACUUAUAUAUUUAACACUUAUUUACACAUAGCUUUAAUGUCUAACAAGAUUUUUCCUAUUACAGCUCUACGGCCCCAGCCAAGCCAGGAGGAGCAGGACCAAAGACACCAUUCCAACUAAUUUAACUAAGUGGUGAGUUGAAUGAUUCACACUAUUACCACCACCACUACUGCAGCACCUUGAAAUACAUAUGCCAAUAAAUAUUGGACAGCAUCCAAUUUACAGAAGGAGGCACGCUCAAGGCAUGGACUGUCAGUUAACUACAACAUUCCUCAUGAUGGCCAAGUCAUUCUUUUUCCAGCACUGGAAUCCCAGAACAUAUAUGUAUAUAUCAUCUGUAUAAGAGUAGAAUAGAUAAGAUAAAUAGAUAGAUUGAUUCAGUGAUUUGAAGUGGUCAUGGUGGUAAGAGUCAGUAUAAGCAGUGAUUCUGCUUGAAACAUUGCACUUAGAGAGAGAUUUAUAUUUUUGCUGUGCUGGGGGCUAGUUGACAUGACAUUGGCAGCCCAGAACUCUGUUCCUAGCUACCUAAUAUCAAUUUUGUUCAUAAAUUACAUCUCUUGUCAGCACGCACUGCACACUGACAACAGACAUGAAAAUCUUUCCUUGCAGAUGUAGCGCUUGCAAGGCAAAACUCCCUGCGCAUUGUUUUGUUUUUGUCCACACCCUUCCUCCACUUCCCUCACCAACCCGGAGAAAGUGCAUGCACUGUGAGCUGGAGACAUGGUCCAAUCACAGGCUUUUCUAUUUUCAUGUUUUACAGUGAAUUGAGAUGGGGGGCCUUCCCCAUAAUGGCAUAUUAUGCCAGAAAGGUUCCACCCACUCAAAAGAGUUAUAGUAACCCUUUAAAUUCCCAUUUUGUUUGCAUUACGUCUCCGUGUGUUUAUUAAUGGCGUUGUGUCCACGUUUGCUAGGCUAAUGUGGUGUACACAUACAAAGCUGUAUUUGUGUGGAAGAUUAGUGUGUAUAUGUGUUUGCAUAGGCAGUAGUAUAUGUGUGUGGAUGAGUGUGAGUGAAUAAGUAUAUAUGUGUGGUACAGUUGGAGUGUGUAAAAGAAGGAGUAUAUGAAUAUUAAGGGCUAGUGUACAUGUGUAAAUGCAGGAGUGUAUAUGUGAAAGGCUAGGGAUUGUAUGUAGUGAUAUGUGCGCUAGGUUCUGUUUAUAUAUGUUAAUAAUGUGUCUGGGAUUAUAUGUCCAUGUGAAGAUGUAAUAUUUAAGUAUACGUAUGUGGAGUUUGGGUAUGUAACAAAUAUUAACACAAACACACACAUAUAAAAUCUGUUAGACACAUAUAAAAAACACAUUUAUGAACACCCAUUCAUAUAUAUAUAUAUACUGAGUGAGCUUUCUAUAUUAUAAAUGAAGGAAGCCUGAAGGAGAUUUCAGAGUACUGAUGAUUGGUAUUAACAGUAAGUAUGAGUUCCAUGUGCAGUUCAAUCAUACAGGCAGCAUAUGGACCCAUAUUACUGUCUGCAAGACUGAGAACUGUUUGCUCAGCCAGACUGCAAUCCAAUUUUUUUUCAGUUUUUGUCUGCUGAAUACAUCUGGAAAGUAUUUGUUGUGUUUAAUGUUUUUACAAACAAUUGCCUCAAUUUAACAAUGUUGGAUAUGCUUUUGAAAUCAUUUACAGGGUUAUUCACUAAAGUGAGAAUUCAAAGUGAAUUUCAAACUUAAGAACAAAGUAGCUAAACUGGAAGCAUAGCUGUCUUGGAGAAAUUUUCAUUAAAUUUUAAAUUAAUUUUGAAUGAUGACAUUAGUGAAUAACUCUGCUAAUAUUGUUGCCUACAUUUUUAAAGUUAUUUAAUAUUAUGACAAAUAUUUUAAUUCAGUAAUGUGUUGAUAUUUUUAUAUUUAAAAUAUUUAUUUUAAAGUUUAUGUAAAAACAAUAAAAUUCAAAAUCUUAUCUAGCAACAUUAAAUCAAGACCACUAUAACUUGCAUUAUAUUGAUAUCUGCAUGUUCUUCCCAUAUGAUCCUUGAUGAGAUUCAGUCAAGUCAGCACAGGACUUUAAAAAAAAAAAAUUCUAUGGAAUGGAUCUCUGGAUCACUCGGAGAUAUAUGGCAUAUUCCUUAAUGCAUAGCCUGUUCCCUGCCUUUCUUGGUGUGGGUAUAUUGGUGUUGUUAAAAUAAAACUAUUGUUCAGAUUAUUCUGUUUCUUUUUUAAACAUUCCUCAUUGACCUCCUAUCAAAUAUUGCCAUAAUCAACUAAAAUGUACAAUAAAAUAAAACCUCUGACUCAAAAUAUUUUUUUUAACAAUUAUUUAUUUAUUAAUUUUCAUGCCCACUUUCAUGACCAUAAUUCUGUAGAUAAAUACAUAAAUGUAACAAAGAAUAAAACCGUUAAUCAUACAAACGGAGUUGUAAAUUGAUUGAGUGCAAUUAUCAUGAUCUUUGGGUUCGUAAUGUAAUUUUGUAGCAUUAUUAGAGUAUUGUAGCUGUUCUGCGCAGCACAAACACUGUUUUAAAGCAUCUCUGUCAAUACCUUUUCUCCUCACAUUAAUUAUCACUGGCCCACAUUAUCCUUUUGCCCUAGAUCAUUUAUUGUAAAAAAAAGUCUUUUUCCUUUUUUUUUUUGCACAAUGCUGGAUCUUUAUCAUCAGUUCCUGCCAUUUUCACUGCUCCAGUAAUGACUUGGGUUGUUCAGUUUCCCAUUCCCUUCUUUGCUGGCAACCCUAGGCAUCCCUUCUUCAUAGCUCAUGUCAUUAGAUGAAGGAAACAACCUGAGCGUUUUCACAGAGGAUGUAUUCUGGGAAAAUAGACUGGACAAAGGAAAUGGAGCUUCAACUACGCUCUGCUUAUUGUCAGGGUGUGUCAAGUACUGUUAUCUACAUAAGGAAAAAAAGUCUACUUUCUCUUGAGUAUAAAUUGAAAACUACAAAAUAUAAAUUAAAAAGGCAGCAUAUGACAGACAGACAUUGAAAGAAUUGGUUCUAUAAAUGUAAGGCGAGGUGACAGAGCUGCUAAGGUUAUAAUGUUUUCUAGAACCCAGAAUACUACCUCCUUGCCUUUAAAGACGCUUACACUUUCUGGGGGGGCAUUGACUUGUACGCAAGCACUCACAGGCAACACUGGUCUUUUACUUCACUCCAAGUCCUGAUAGACUUCUCUGUUGGAGAUAUGUUCGUUUUACAAUUUUGUUCUCACUAUGAUCAGUCUAUCAGGGAUUCAAUAAUUUGUCUUCACAUCGGAUAUACAUAAACUUUUUUUUCUCCUCGUCAUUUUUGUUUUACACAAAUUGAUUUUACGUUGUAUUGCAUUGUGGUGGUAUAUAUAUUUUUUUUUAGAUAAGUAUUUUGUCAGUUCAUAUGUUGGAUUUGUAUUAGGACAUGUCAGUCGUCAUAUGUUUUCAAGUUACACAAGUUGUAACUUCAAUGUGAUUGUUUAAAAAAAAAAAAAAAAAACAACAGCAUUUUUACACACACUAGCACACAAACCGAUAAAUAGAUACACACUCAUUCUUCCUAGGCAUACAUAUAAAGGACACAUAAAUUCACACUUUUCCACACAGAGACACAAAGACACUCACAUUUACACAUAGAUACACAGUGACACACCCAAACUCCACAUACAGAUAUACGACACUGCCACACAGAUAUACACACACACUACCACACACAGACAGAAAUAUAUGAAUAUAUAUUUUUAGCCAUCCUCUUGUUUGCAUACCUUUUGAGUGCAUGAGGUUGCCUUCCCUGGAGUCUGAUAAGAGUGAUUCCUCUACUCAAAGCAUCCAUUGUGCACUGGGACAAAGUACCUGGAAAUCACAUCUUCUUAUCACUGCCAGGCAAGGGAACAAGUACGCGGUUCUUUGUAUAUUGCUACCACAUCCCAUCUGAGACACAUUUUUUUUUCUAAAGUAAACAGUCAGAUUUUCAUGUCACCAUACCAAUAAUUAGAUCUGAAAGUACAUAACUGGCCCAUGCAUCUGCUGAUUGCAAUCGCACAUUAUUAUCUAUAAUAAUUACCAAGAUCUUCUCAUUUACAGUUGCCCUAAAUUGAGUUAUUAGUUGCUUGUGUGUUUCUCAUCCCAAAUUCACAACUUUGCAUUUAUUUAGAUAAAAUCUCACCUGCCCAGAUCUCAGGUAUCCAUCUGUGGAAAUUUUCUAUUUGAGGGAACCUUUAUAUAGUAUUCAUAUAUAUUUAAAGAAUUAUUUGUGGACAAUAGGCCCCCUUCAAUCCACUCCCCUUGUGUGUUUAAAAAUUUAUGUUUAAUAAAUACUACUUACCUCAUUUCCAGCGUUGAGACUUCUCUGCAGUAGCCUCUAGCCAGGGCCGGAAUAACAUAGGGGCUGAUGGAGCUGCAGCUCCAGGCCCAGGCCCAGGCCCAUGGAAUAGGCCCAUUGAUUUAAAAAAUCUACUACUCUUAAGGUUUCCAUCUGGCUGGUAUUUUAUUGGCACAGCCAGUAUUUGAGGCUGCCUGGCCGUUGCCGAUAUUGCAGUCAUACUGGCAAUACAAAUGCUGGUAUUUUUCUCAGUAUAAACAGAGAUUACGAUGCAGUACCAGCACUGGCCAGUAGGGAUCACUGUGUGUGGAGAGAGACAGGGAUAGGAAGUCCCAGCAUAUCUCUACCUGCUUAUCUCUACUCACUGAUCCACAGGGGAGCAACUACAGAGAGUCCAGACAGCAACUCCCACCCUGCAGAGACAGCCUACAGCUCAGAAAAGUGAUGAAUGGGGGGGAAUGGCUGCAAGGAGACAUACACUGAGACACUAAGGGACAUUGGGAGACAUUAUGACACAGACACUGGGAACACAGUGUCCCCAGUGUUCCCAUGUCUCCCAGCCAGUGUCCCUGGUGUCUCAGUGCCCCAUAGUCUCCCAGUGUCUCAGUGUCCCCAUGUCUCCUAGUGCCCCUAUGUCUCCCAGUGCCCCCAAGUGUCUCAAUGUACCCAUGUCCCCCAGCCAGUGUCCCUAGUGUCUGUGUCCCUGGUGUCUCGGUGUCCCCAUGUCCCCCAGCCAGUGUCCCUAGUGUCUGUGUCCCCAUCCCUUCAAGUGUCCCCUAUUUUCCCAAUAUCCCCAUGUGUCCCAGUCAGUGUCCCCAGGUCUCCCCAUGUUCCUAGUGACAUGGGGACCCUGGAAAACAUGGGGACAUAGACACAUGGGAAUUUUGGGGGACACAAGGAGACAUGGAUCACUGAGACCUGGGGUAAUUGACACAUGGGGACACUGAGUCAUGAGGACACUGAGAAACAUGGGGUGCCCUCUGGGACACUGGGAGAAAUCCAUCUAUACAGCAGAAUCAAACCAAGUAGUUUUUGGGUGAUUUUACAGUAUUUUCUUUUAUGUCACUCCUUGUGAUUUACAUCGUGUGAUGUCACCCAUACAUAAUUAUGCAAAUUAGUAAGGCCGGUAUGUUUUUCCAAGAAAGGUGGCAACCCUAACUACUUUUCACGAACUCUUGCUUAAGUAUAGAAACUUAAGAGGGAUGGGAACAAAACUUGUGUGGACUGGCUGACAAUGAAAUUAGUUAAAGGAACACUAUAGUCACCUAAAUUACUUUAGCUAAAUAAAUUUCACUGCUCAAUUCACUGUCAUUUAGGAGUCAAAUCACUUUGUUUCUGUUUAUGCAGCCCUAGCCACACAUCCCCUGGCUAUGACUAAAAAAAACAAAACUGGUUUCACUUUCAAACAGAUGUAAUAUACCUAAAAUAAUUGUAUCUCAAUCUCUAAAUUGAACUUUAAUCACAUACAGGAGGCUCUUGCAGGGUCUAGCAAGCUAUUAACAUAGCAGGGGAUAAGAAAAUCUUAAUCCUAAUUAAACAGAACUUGCAAUAAAGAAAGCCUAAAUAGGGCUCUCUUUACAGGAAGUGUUUAUGGAAGCCUGUGCGAGUCACAUGCUGGGAGGUGUGACUAGGGUGACUAGGGCGCUUCCCUCCUGUCAGCCCCUCUCCUCAUGCUGCGCCCGGGCGGUGCGGUGCUCCCUCAUGGACGCACCAGCCCGGGCAAAGCUGCAGCCGCCUGAGGCUCUCUGCAGAGCGCUCGGGGGGCUGCAGCAUGAGGGUCAUGCCACCCCCCACCCAGGUAGCACCCGGGGCGGACCGAUCCCUCCGCCACCCCUUAGUACGCCACCUAACCACUGGUCUCACUGAUCUUAUUGAGACCUAGCUAUUGUCUGACUCUUCAAUAGGAGGGAGUCUGACAAUAGACCAAGCUGUCAUUGAUCUGCAAAGCCUGUUAGCCCACAGUGCAGAGCUGCAGACACCUUAUGUGUCCAGUACAUGAUUGGAUCAGCAUGUACAAGGCUAUUACUGGACUGCUUCACAAUAAGGCAAUCCAACGGUAUUACUUGGUUGGCCCUCAGGCUGUGUGAUCACCUUGGGAGCUAAUCACAUACCGUAUAACAUACCGUAGCUGUAAGUUAUUGUGCCUGCUUCUCUCAGUUUGGUGAUCAAUAUAUUAAAUAGUUUGUUGUUCAAGUGUUUGUUAGAGUAGAUAUUUGUAAGGUUUAGUUGGUAUUCGAGUUAACUAGGGUUAGGGUUAGUGUUAGGUUGGGUUACUUAAGAGUUAGGGUUAUGGAUAUUUAGUAUUAGGGUUGUGGUUUGCUAAGGUUUGGAUUGUGGUUAGGUAAGAUCACAUAGCGUUGGGGUUAGAUACAGUUAGACAUAGUGUUGUUUUGAUGCUAUUCUGUAGGUUGUAGGUCACAAACAGAUGCUCUUUGAAUUAAGCCACGUCAGAAAUAGUGUAUAUCUAUAGUGUAUUAUGUAACACAAAUCUGGGGUCUAUGAAGUAGGUAACACACACUGCCUGGGAAUUUCAUAAUAAAUAGCAAUAUAUAUGAGAAAAAAAUAAAAUGUACCACUAUAUUUGUAUGAAAUGGCCAAGUGGAGAGGUUCCAUUUAAAGUAACCCAAUUUUGCAAAUGGUCGGAGUAAAGUGCAGUUGGGUUCUUUUAUUUUGUCUCAAAAAGGACAGGUGCUGAGAAAUAAAUCAGUCAAAACUGGAAAUCUGAAAUUGUCAUGCUUGCAAUUUCAUCAUAUAACUUCUAAAAAAUCUGUGUGAAGUGUUGCUAAACAUGGCAUCGGGACAGUAGUAGAAGGGGUUAUGGUAAUAGGACAUUUAAGGUCUGUGAAAUUUCACACAAAACUGAAUAACACAAAAACAUUAAAUACAACAAGCAGAUUUUGCAAAGUUUAAUGAUAAAAUAGAAAGUGCCAAAAUGCUUUUAGUUAAGCUCUCUGGGGGUUAUAUAUAUAUAUAUAUAGGCCUGUAGUUGUGGGAGGGGCUUGGGUCCUCUUUAUAAGGGCAUCCAGUCCUCUCUCACUUCACUAUGGUUGACCUGGCGAGUUGCAGGCUGAUGAGACUGCCUGGUUCAGUACAAAACCAUCUACUUCCAGUUCAAAGGUCAUCAACACAAACUGCCUAAACCCUAAACAAGCUGGUCUUGGCCCAUGCAAGUAUAUGUUUGCCUAACUCUAGUGAACAGCCACCUCAUUAGAAACACAUGGGGCACUGCCGCAUCCAGCCCAGCCUCGGCUUCUAUAACUGUUGUUUUUACAACAAAACCGUAAGUUUGUUUGUUCAACCUUUCGGAUAUGGCAAAUUUUACUAGUAAUGCAAAUUCAGUCUAUUUUAUUUGCACAUAGCAUGCUUCAUUCUGCUUGCUGUAUUUGGCCCUCACUAGGCCAUAUCGACUUUUAUCAUAUGCAUUUUAGUUAGUCACCCUGCAAUUUAAUGUUUCUCUCUACAUUUUAAAGUUUUCUUUGUCUGUCCUGGGUAUUCAUGCACUUUUGAGCAUUCAUUGUUUAGUAAUUAUGUGGCUGGGUCUUGCAACUGACUGUCUAAAUUUAUGUCAGGCCCAAACUUGGACCUAUACAUGUGGUAAAGGAAAUAAAAUAUAAACGUGUAUCUACAUUCUAUGUACACAUACACGUAACAUUCCUUAUUUUCUGUACAGGGAAAUAUCUUCUAAAUGUCAUAAAUUUUCUUACUAACAGACCUUAAAUUUAUAAAACUGUAUCAUAUGCAUUUCAGUUAAUCAUCCUACAUUUUAAUGUUUCUCUGCGAUCUGGGUAUUCAGGUACUCAUUGGGCCAACAUUGUUUAGUAGAUAUGCCCCAAGGGACAUUUUGCAUGCAUUUAAUUAUGUAAUUUUCAUUGGGGUAUAGUCUAAAACUGCUAGCUAAGCCUGCAGUUCUCUUGUCUGCUGCCUCACCUCCAAUGUGGUUUCCCUGUACCAUCGUCUCAUGGAGGUCCUGCCUCUGCCAAGUGCCUGUCUGUUCCACGAGGUCUGCUCUCUACUCAGUAUGUUUUCCUGCUGGGUUCUUCUCGGCACACCAUCUGGUCCGGGGGCCUUGGUAAAUACCCGUUGUGCAUGGCAUGCCGGUCCACUACCUGCCUUGGCUGACCUAUGGGAUGUCUACCUCUCUCCUGGUGCUCUGCCUGCUGGUAUGGUGUCUGCCACUCUCAUGGUUCUCGGCCUGCUGGUAUGGUGUCUGACACUCGCGUGGAGCUCAGCUGGUAUGGGAUUUAGCACUCUCAGUGCUCUGCCUGCUGGUAGGUUUGCCAUCACCAGUCUGUUUAUUGGUCGGACCUCUGGGGCGUUUGUUAAGUCAUGCAGCCUGUCAAUGGUAUACACCAGGGGUAGGCAACCUACGGCACUCAAGGUGUCUUUGCACGGCACUCAAGGCUGCUACAGCCAAACAGGCUCUGGCCUAUCAGGAGUCCCAGUGAAACUUCACAUAUCUGCUAACAUGAAAAGGUGGUGAAGGACAAUCCUCAAUUUAUGCAUUGCAGAUCACUUCCUCCCAGCACUUGUGAAUGGGAAUCCACACUGUAGUAGAGCAGCCUGCAGAUGCUGUUGCUGCUCCUGUCCUUGACCUGUACCUGGCCAGCUUGGUCCCCACUGGAACCCAGGGAAGCCACAUACACACUGCUAGAUUUACACAAAAAUGCACAAUAACCCUCCCCUCAUACAAAUAAUACUAACAGCCCACAAACAAACAUACAUACAAUCCGCACAAACGUAACCCGCUAACAAUCCACAUACAUGCACACAACCCCACAUGCAAUACCCCAAACAGCCCCCACACAUACACACACACUACCAUACACACAAUGUGACAUAUCCAUCUACACACACAAUUCCACAAGCAGCCCCAUACACAGCUUACAUUCAUAUGUAUCAUACACGAUACCACAAACUACUCCUGAACAUAUACAAUAUAAUAGCUCAUAUACACACAAAUAUACAAAGCAAUUACAGUAUAAAUUACACAAGCAGAAUACGGCAGCAUACUCACCUCAAUUUAAAAAAAUUGGACCGGCACGCUACGGGACAUCACAAUCCUAUAUCGGCACAGUGCUGCUAAAAGGUUGCCUACCCCUGGUAUACACUUUAGUUCUGUCUGUGUAAUUGUUAUUCCCCCAUGAUUUGUUUUCUGAUUUGAUACAGGAAGUGUGUGUAUAUAAAAAAGUGUUUGAAGGGCACAACCUUUGAUGUAAAUAAUUGACCUGUUAAAGAAAAAAGCAGCUGCGUGUAUUUUGCUAUUUCUAGUGACUCUCCGUAUGGUGUAAUUCUCUGUUCUGAUUCUGCGAUUGGUUUUAUCGUCUGGUGCGCCCCUGCUCGCUCAUCUGGUGUAAUUGCCUGUGCCUUUUAUUUAUUUAGUGUUUUCAGGAUUGAGGUUCGCUCUCUUGUGCCUCUAACAUGCUCGCUGGUAUGCACUUGUUACUGGGUCUCUGGCCCUUGACCUGUAUUGCCUGAUGGUUCUGCACCUCUUGUCCUUUCUGGGUUGGGCACAUUUUGCACUUCUUUUUGCCAUGUUCCUAUACUCUCCUCUGUUUCCCUCCUCUAUGAUUUAUACCUGGAUUUCGCUAAUCUGCGUGACAUGCUUGUUCUGCCAGGGAGCUCAUCCUUCCUGGCAGCGUUUGCCUGUCUUGCCUCGUGUCCUCCAGUGGGGUAGGUUAAUUUCUCUUAUUUCGGUCCUCGAUCUGGCCCACGCUGUAUUAUACGUUCCCGGUUCUACACAGCUCCACGAUUUGGCCCACGCAGGCGAUCACGUUCUCUGUCUCCAUUCUAAAUGGAUCCACAGUCCAGCCCACACAGAGGCAUACAUCCUCAGACUCCAGUCUGAUUGGGUCCACGACCCUGCCGCGCAGAGGCAUACAUUCUCGGACUCCAUUCUAAAUGGGUCCACGAUCUGGCCCACGCUGAGGUCCCCUAUUAGCAGAUAAGUGCUGGUUGUUAGGGAUCUAGGUGCCCACUAUGGUAGGUUUCUGGCUUCUAUGCCAUAGUCCAGUGGUCCCGCGAGGUCAACACCCAUCCUCAUACUCGGAGGUACCCCAAUGCCAUCAGCCCAAUGCAUAGUUAUUUGCCUCGCAUUGCUGCCUAGGGAGGGCCUCACCUGUCACUCCCAUUCUAUCUUAUGCUUUAGUAGUCACUGAGAGGCCAUCACCCUGUCACUUGUGUCUCGGUGGCCUCCAUUUCCCCUCGGGCCAAUGCAAAGAUAGAGCCUCUCAUGCUGCUUGGCAACUAGCAGGGCCUCACCUGUCACCCUCAUUAGUUGAAUUCUUUGCCACUUGGCAAUAGCUAGACUGCCGGUAUGUUAUAUGGAUCAUACAAAUGGUGGCUUUGUAUAAUCCGUAUGUCUCGAGUUCCCAAACCACUUGGGUACCAUCUCUACCCAACACCUCUGCAAGGUCUGGGCUCUAUCUCACAGAGUAUACAAAGUUAGUCCAGCAUCCCUUAGAGCCGGGACUACUCCACGAAUCACGGUCGGACAUCAUCCUCUUAUAUAUUAUCUGUACCUGAACCGGUUAGGGAUUCAUUAGGCCUUUCAUGUUGUAUCCAAGUAAUAUUGAGUUAUUGUAGAAUAUAUAUAACUUAUUUUUGCCCUCUUUAUUACAAGCCUACUGCAUUGUCGGUUCUGGCACACCACAACCGACUGGUGCUAUUGGCUAAGAUGUGUAUUGCUAAUUAUGUGUUAUCUAACCAUUACGGCAAUAUUGCCUUGACCACAUAUAUAUAUAUAUAUAUAUAUAUAUAUAUUUUUUUUUUUUUUAUUAUUAUUUUUUUUUUUUACAAAUAUAUACUUUUAUUAGAGGUUUUUAAUUCUUUGACUGCUUUUUAUAGUUUUAGCAAAGCAAAUUUUGCAAAUGUUUAGUUUUAAAGCUAUAAUUCACUCCUUGCCUUGCAUAAUUUGUCCUAAAACCAAAAUGUAAUUUAAGUCACGGACACAUUGUAAAAUCAGGACUAAUAUGUAAAUCUAUAUUGAUUUAUUUUUUUAGUUGCACUAUUUGUAUAGAAAUGAUUGUAAGUAAAGCUAUGACAUUUUUUUUUUUUCAUGUUAAGCACUUUAAAAAAAAUAUAUUUUAUUAUAAUAUUGUAGUUUGCAUACAAAUUCGGUUUCAGAAGAGAACCCUAUUAGUCAUUUAAAAAAUAUUUUAUAGUAUUUAUGGGUGCACUUAAUGUGAAACCAGGAUGUCUACUUAACAACAUAGUUUUCGAACAUAGAUCACGCAGUUUGUGAAUGCGUUCCUGUGUGUUUGUUAACUUUUAUAUAGUGCAUGUAGUAUUUCAUAGUAUGAUUAGAGCAUACAUCCCAAAAAUUCAAACAGAUACUAUAAUUUUAGGGGUGUGGCUGAGGAUGUGGAGAUAGGCAAGGCUGUUCUUCAAAAUUUCACUGACUUACUAAUAACUUAAACAUCUAAAAUGUUAUUUAGAAGAACAAUGUAUAGUUUUAGGACACAUUACUGUGAGUAUUAUUGCUAUGUUACACAUUCAGACACACCAACAAUAUGAAACUCUAAGAAAAGGGUGUGGAAAGAGGAAGAGACAUUUGGGCCCAAAAUAUGGAUUGCCCCUACUAAAUAGGGACACUUGGGUAGGGAAGUAUGUUAGAGCAGUGUGAAACUGCAAUUGAAUGGUUGUUUUUGCUGAAAAUUAUUUCAUUUUUUCACGCUCUCGUUUUGCUUUUGUACUUUUCUUAUAUCUAUUACCUUUGUUUCCUUGGCUUUGAUUAGAUAUAGGUGUCUUAUUUUUCUGUUGGUGUAGUGUAAAUUUAAAAUGCAUCAGCCUAUGUUUGUGUAUAUAAUAUGAAUUAGUGUUUUGCUUUAGUUAAUUGGGUAUAUUAAUCACUUGUUAACGUACAUUUCUAGUUGGCGUUACAGAUCUCAUGUUUAACUCUGAUGUUCUAUUUUGAACUACAGUGUGCAGUGCAACAAAUAACAACCUGGAAUUUCAAUCAGAACAGUUCCAAGGAGGUAGAUAUCGGCGCAUUGCUUGUUCUAAAGGUCAGAAAAGAAUAGCUGGCAAAUCCAAC
rnacentral:lncRNA from 1 species